ACAUAAAGCUGGUAACAACAAUAGAAAUUAGUUGGUCCAGAGAAUAGAUGAUAACAAGGAAAAGUGUUUUGGUUGUAAUGGACAAUAGAGUGGUAUUUUAAUACCUAUUGACGUGUACAACUUUAGAAGUGCAAGUUUAAUAGAACUAUCUGUCUUUGUAUGGAUGUUUGCUAAACCUUUCAUAAGUAUUACAUCAUUACAAACAGAGAACCUAGACGGAGGCCAGCGCCAUAGUAUAGUGCUCAAAAGUAAAGUCAUCUCUUCGAAAUACUCAAUUUUCUUUACACCUUCAGCAAAAUCCUUUAUAUUUCCAACAAUCCGAAGGGAAGCCUCCGUUUCUUUCAGUGCUUCCAUAACAUCCUUCUCAUUUGUAGCACUCAGAUUUGAGAUUACAAAAUUCAAAGUGGUAGCACAGGGUAUAGCAACUUCUACUUGAUGUGAAGAUAGCAAGGAUGAUAGACAAUAAACAAGAUCCAACAUAUGUGAUUGCAACAACGGAUUAGGCAGAACACUAACCAACUUCACUGCAACAUUUGACGCCAUGCUUAAUAAAACCUCAUUUUUGCAUUGAAGAAUCCAUAAUAAUGCUCCUAAAAUAUCAGGAAGAGAUUCCUGAGGAAGUAAAGCAAUGCAGGAAAACACAUUUCAUUGUUAUUGAAUGAAAAUACAGACCAAUUUAUCUAUAACAAAUCAUUCUACUCAAAUUUACCAGUAGGAAUUUACAUUAGUAACUAUUUCCAAAAAGUAUCAGUUUGGCUUGUGAAAACAUUAUCUGUUUUCACUGUGUCUACUGUUUUCAAAAUGCAGGAUACGUAAAAACAACUUUUAAAUUAUUUUUUGUUCUUUUCGCCUUUCCUUGUAUAAAGAUCAGAAAAGUUAAAAUAAAUAUGAAAACAGAAUUCUGUUUUUCUCAGACCAAACUGCCCGUGUGAAAUCCUUUCUUCGAUUAAUAUAUUUGUUUAUGCUAGUAAUAAUUCAUUGUAAUUAAUUUUCCGACGUACAUAUAAUCCUAACUUCGUAAGUAUGCUGAGUGAAAUUGACUCAAGCAAAUUCAUAAAACGAUCUAUAAAUUCCACAAUCUCCACAGGUAUGCACAUUUCAUUUAGAAAGUCCGAUGAACAAGCACAGAAACUUCUAAUUCAGGUUCGUAGGUGCUACUUACAAGACUUAAAAUCCCGAAAACAAAAGGAAGAAAACUAUACACCUUAACAACAGCAUGACGUGCUGCACGUGCAUCGCCCGAUAAGGAAUCAAGAAAGGCACCAAUUGAUCGUAGUACAUUUUUCUGCACUUCAAUGUUGGCGCACUGCCACCUCCACCUAUUUGUCUUCUCAUCAAAAUGUCUGUAUUCACAAAGAAUAAAAUCACAACCAGAACAACAACCCCCAACAUGAAAAAUACAAUUCAAUGACUUUGGGCCCCACUUCGUCAAAAACCAAAAAGAUAGAAAAUUUAAUGAGAAAAAUGACGGAAUAAAAAAUUAGAGGCAACUGGGGUGCGAGUUAAGACCUGGUGCCAAGGUUUAGGGCGUGGAGAAGACGGCGAUGGAGGUUCUGCAUAUGCGAACUGAUGUAGCGAUCGUUCUCUUUCUCUUUGUCUCUGCCGGAUUUCAUGGUCUCUUCCUACUAUGAGAGAAUUCGGAAAAAAUAGAGAGAAAACGAGGAUCAAAGUGAAAGAAGAAAUUGAAUUGUGUUGUGUGUGUUGCAGAAAGAAGGUGUAAGUUCAGCUCUGAAGUUUGAACACCGCCACAAACUCUCCUUCUUUACAAACUCUGUUACAAACUAGAAAGAUGAGAAAAAUAAAUAAAUAAAAUCCUAAAAUGUCACAGUAGAACAAAUAUAUUUUCGUAAAAUAUAUAAAAUGCCUUUUAAAUAAAUAACAGAUGAAAAAGCAUAUAAAUGGAAAUGAAAAGUAAAUAUUUUUAGGAGUGUUCCUCCCUGCACCUCCCCCUCUUCUUCCUGCACCUCCAAAAUUACUUUUUUACCCUUUUAUCAUUUAAUAAAGUCAAACAUAAUUAAUGAAUAAUAAAUGAUAUUCUAACUCCUAACUGUCAACCUCCCUAAUCCUUGUCUGAUCAGUAUAAACCUUACACCCCUUUACCCUCUUCCUGAUCCACAUUUGAGUUCUACAGAGCAUUUGAGCAUUUGAGCUGUUACCUUCACUUGAGUUACUUGAGUUACUGUUUUAUUGAGAACAAAAUAGUAUUUUGUGUUUCUACUGGUGAUUGUGCUUGUUAUUGAUCGUGGUGGUGGUGUUGUUUGCUGCUGGUUCGGCUUUGGACAUAUAGGAGAGGAAGAAGGAGCUCCCAGGUGAGUGCAUUUUUUAAUUUUGCCGCAUUUGGAGUUGCCGCAUUUCGAGUUGCGGCAGAUGCAAACCGCAUUUCGAGUUGCGGCAGAUGCUAACCGCAUUUCGAGUUGUGGCAUAUGCUAACCGCAUUUCGAGUUGCGGUUCUGAAGAAUUCAUUUUUACAUAGCCGCAUAACGAGUUGCGGUUUUCACAUAGUCGCAGAACGAGUGGCUGUCCUAAAUUCAUAAACAAAAAUAAAAAAAAUCAACUAAAAUUAUAUAUAUAAUAAAUAAUAUACAAAAAUUAUUUAAAAAUUAUAUACAUAAUAAAUAAUAUACUAAAAUAUAAUUUUGUGAUAAUAAAAAUUAACUAAAAUUAUAUACAUAAUAAAUAAUAUACUAAAAUUAUUUACGAAAAUAUAGUUUAGAAUAAUAAAAAUUAUUUCACUCAAUAAAUUAAUUAAUAGUUAAUCUAAAAUUUUAUAAACUUAAAAAAAAAAUUAACAAACAACCUAAAAAUUAAAAAAACAACGUUUUCAAAAAAAAAAAUAGGAAAAAAAAAGCACCAACUGCUAAACCGCAGUCUCAGCUGCUUUUGCCCCAAACGCAGUUUGAAGUACGUUUCCCACCCAACGCUGUUCGAAGAGCGUCUUUGCACACCGCAGUCUGAUCUGCGUCUCUGCCCUGCACCCCCCAAAACCAAACCAACCGCAAAUCGAACGGCGGUUGGUUUCAGACGCGGUUUGAACUGCGACACUUCUUAACCGCUGUUCCAUUUGCGGUUCUAUAACCGACACCCCCAAAAUGCAGCCGCCCUUCGUACUGCGGCUUUUCUUAACCGCACUUCCAUUUGCGGUUCUAUAGCACGGUUUCACAAGCAAAGCAAAAGAACAGAUCAAGAAGAUGAUUGCAACUUGCAGCGAGAUAACAGCGAGAUUGCAGCGAGAUUGGCAACAGCGACACAGCAACGAAAUAGCAUAGGCAACAAUGCACAGGAGAGCAAGAGGAACAAAGGGGUGUAGGGUUUUCUGUGUGAGAUGCGGCAGACUUAUGGGGGAUAAGAAACAGAGAUAAUUAAAGUGUUUGACUAAAUUAAAUGAGGGAUAAAAAGGUAAAUUAAAUGAGGGAUAAAAAGGUAAUUUGGGAGGUGCAGGGAGAAAGGGGUGAGGUGCAGGGAGAAGCACUCUAUUUUUAGAAUGUUCAUGAACGAAUCAUCUUGAAAGCAGAUGUGUGAACUACUUGUAAUCAUUGCAAUCAUAUUAUAAAUAAUAAAAAUUUAAAAUAUUUAAAAAAUAAUAAUUAGAAUUUGAUGCAAUGAAUAAUCUAUAAGAUUAAUAUAUUUGGAGGUAUUAUUUGUAUAGUUUUACGUCAAUUAGGUCCCUCUAUUUUUAAGUAUUUUAAUUUAAUUUCUGUUUAUGAAAAAUUAAAACAAUAAAAUCUGUGUCGUUAAAUUCUUUAGAUCGUGUUAAAAUUUAAGUUUGAUGGCUAGGUGAACUGACAUUUGAAAACAUGUGAUACAUAAUACGUGGACUUAAAUUGACAUAAUGCGCAGCCACAUGUCAGCACUCUUUUCUCCCAAUUAGGGUUUCAGAUGGGGUGAACACUCCUGCUCUAGCACCUAGUCUGUCUUCGCGAAAGGGUUUUGCCUCUUCUCCUCUGUGGCACUACGAACAAUUUGAUGGUGUUUCAGGCGAAUUGAACUCGUCCUGGUUCUUGGUUUGAUUCUUGCAGGUUUCUGGAUUUCAAUGUGGAGGCGCGAGAGGAAAACGUGAGAGAAGAUGAACUGAUGAAAUUGAUUUGGUGCUCCUCUUUGCAAGUGCGACACAGAAACGAAUGGAUUUCAUGGAUGAAGGUGUUGUUGUUCGAUGCUGGUGCGAGCUGGUGGUGGUUCGCUAAUGGCGGAGUGGUGCAAUGAAGGUGGGUGUUGCAAUGGCUUCGAGUUCUUGCGUGAGAAGUAAUGCGAUUCUGAGUUUUUGGUUUGGCUUUGCAGGUCCAAAAGCGAUGUCGACACUGACGCGUUUUUGCUUCGCGAUGGAAGAGAAGAGUUGUGAUUUUGUUCCUUUGAUUUCCAGGUGGAGAAGAUGAAGAUGGUGACGGUGGCGCAUCUAUUACCAGCGGCGGCGCAUGUGUUAGCGGUGACGCAUGUGUUAGCGGCGGCGACUUGCGCUAUGGAGAUGGUUGGCUAUCAGUGAGAAUGGCAUGCGAGGAAGAUGUUAGUGUCCGUGGAAGAAGGUCGCAAGAAGCAUGGUGGCUUGAGGUUGCUCAUGGUGCUGGCACUUGUGGUGACCCGUUCUGCAAUGGCGUUGAUGGUCGUGAAUGGUGAUGACGGUGAGAUCGUGGCAGUGCUGGAUGAUGCAGUGACUAAGGUUUCUUGAAGAGAAAUUAAGGUUUGUCUAGAGAUGAUGAUGAUGAUGACAUGGUAGGGUGGUGAUGUGGCAGAGACUUUUUUAAACUUUUUUAAAUUAAAAAAUCAUUUAAGUCUACCUCAGACAACAUUUUUGACGCCCUUCAGAGAAUUUAAUAGGAGAGACUUUGUUGUUUCAAUUUCUCAUAAUCAGGAACCAAAUCGAGUUACUUAAAAAUAGAGAGACCUAAUUGAUACAAAAUUGCAUAAAUAGAAAUCUCUAAAUCUAUUAAACCAUGUACUAACUAAAAUAAAUAAAUCUGCAUGAUCAUUGUUUGUAUCACUGUAUAAAUCAAAACAAUGUAGUAUGUUAUUUAAGCAUGUAAGAACAAUCUAGAAUUUGACGUUGUCAUAAAACCCUUCUAAACUAUUAUUUUUAAAUAAAGAGAGUGAAAUGUAUAAAUUUUUUAAAAAUACUUAAAAACAUUAUAAAUUUUUUUAGAAAUAUACUAAUUUAGAAAAUUAAUUAUUUUUUAGAAGUAAUUAAUUGUUUUAAAAACUAACCAUUGAGAAAACUAAUUAUUUUAAGAAAUAAUUAACCCUUUAAAAAAUAUUUUAUUUUAGAAAAAUAAAGAUUUGAAAACGUAAUAUAUAUUUUUAAAAAAAUUCUUAGAGAAAAAAUAUGUUUUUAAAAUAAAUUUAAGAGAAAAAUGUAUUCUGAUGAAUAUUUUGUUAAAACAAUAAUAUUUAGACAAGUGAUUAAUUAUUUAGUUUUGUGUUCUUAAUAUUAAUUUAUUUAUUUUAUAAAUAAUUAAAUAAAUUCGGUAGCUCCCAAACUGUACUGUAAGGUAUAAAAUAUGUAAUAUUAAUGUUGAUAUUAAUGUUGAUUUUUCUAGUUAAAAAACAGAAAAUUUUGAAAUAAAUAAAAUAAAAAAUUAAAAUGAAAAAACAGAUAGUUAAAAGAUUUUUUAAAUGAUUCCUAAAAAUUUAUACUUUACAAAAAGUAAUACUAAAAUUAAUUUCUUAUCUUAGGUAAUACCCGAAUUUCUCUGCAUAGCGUAUGGCCAACUCUAUUCCACGUAAAACUAUACUACUAAAUCGUAAAACAAUAAAAAUUCUCAUAUAUUUAAACAUCAAUUUGUUAAAAUUUACGUAAAAAUUGAAACAACAUUGUUUAGAUCAAAAACUCUCUUUUACUACGACUAAAGCUACAAAAAUAAUACUCUCAAAAGAAAUCUCACAUAUAGUCGAACCACCGUUCACUCUGAUGCAUUUUGAUUGUGAUUUCUUUGUUGCUUUCAUUUCUCAAAGUGCUAUGAUACAAGUUCAAGUUAAUUUUGUAUGAGAAAUAGGUUAUAAAAAAUCUUUUAUGAUUAUUAUGCAUUGAUAUUUCCUGUGGGAAAUAGUUUAUAAAAAAUCUUACAUGGUUAUUGUCCAUUUUAAUUGAUAUUUUCUACCAAUAGGAUUUCAAUACCCAUAGACAGCGGUUUCAGAAUCGAGACAUAUACAGACGAGGCAAAAAGGGAUAGGAUUUUGUCUCCGUUCAAUAGUAACCGAAGCAGUAGUGUUUUUGUUUUUUUUUAGGACUUUACGCCUCGGUUCCUUCAGAACCGAGGUAGUAUCUUCCACCUCCCUUAAUGGCCUCCACCACCACGGACCUUCCCUUCAUAAGCAUUCCAUCGAAAAACUUCACCAAUUCAUUAUUAAGUAUAGUAAGUUUCACAUAGUUUGGUUGUGUUCUUUUAGAUUUGAGAGGCAUGCAUAUGAUUGGUGGUAUCAAAGGCAAGGUGAUGUUAAAAAUGGUAUCAAAUCACUAAUUAGAGAUUGGAAUGAUCUAAGAAUUGCAUGAGAAGAAAAUCUGUUCAACCUACUUUCAAGAGAAAUCAAGAGCAUAAAUAUGAAAAUAGAGAACUCUUGGAGAAAGAUAAAGAAUCUAUUAGAGGUGAAAAAAAAGUUCUUUCUUAAAGAGAAGAAGUUUGAAGGGAAACAUGAGAAGCUCUUAAAAGAUAAGGAAAGUAGAGAAAUUGAAAGGAAGAAAGAGGAACAGAUACAACUGCAGAAAAAGUUAAAGAGGAGGAAGCUAGAAGAGAAAGGGAGGAGAGAGAAAAGAAAGCUAAAGAAGAAAAUAAGAGAAGAGAAAUGGAGGAAAGAGAAAAGAAAGAGAAAGAAGAAAAUGAGAGAAGAGAGAGGGAGGAGAAACAAAAGAAAGAGAAAAAAGAGACUGAGAGGAGAGAAAAGGUGAUGGAAGAACUCCUACUUAAAGAUGAAGUAUUACUCAAAGCACCUCCUACUCCCCUAAUCAUAAUUGAUUUAAGAAUUUUAAAGGGAGUUUUCCAAACUUUGAGUUCUUAUCUUUUCAUUAAUGAUUAUCAUUUCUUAAUUUCAACCUUUACUUUUAAAAGUCUUUUUACCUCCACUUUCACUCCCUAUUAUUUUUAACUCUUCAAUAACCUUUGAAAAAUCACUUUUUGAGUUGUUGUUACCUCACAAGUUACAAAUAACUUAAGGUGAACAAAACGAUUUUUAUAAAUUAGGUCUUAUAACUUUUGAACAAACUAAAACAAGAGAUGUCCAAUACUUCAAGUGUUUUGAGAGAAGGAACAAUUCUUUUGAAUGUUCUCCCGAAAGAACAUUGGUUUUAGAAGAUCAACACACUGGAAGCUUGAUAACUCUCAUUCUUCACCUAGUGAAGAAAAGGUUUUAGAUUCUGCAGAAAAAACAAAUUUUCCUAAGGAAAAUCUUUUAAAAAAUAAAAGGCCUUAUUUAUUUCUUCUUUUGUAUAUGCUUUUAUCACUAGAACAACUUUUUGAAAUAAAGGCCAACAAUCUUCUUCAUAAAACCUUUUCCAAAAACAAAAGGCCUUAUUUCUUUGUUCUUUUGUUUAGGUCUAUUCUUUUAAUAAUACUCCUAUUUUUCAUUUGUUGUAAGUACAUUUUUCAUCAAGGAGGAGAUCAUUAAACCAAAGUUAUGCUUCCUCAAAUAUCUUUUCGAUCUGAGGGCAGAUCGUUUCCAACAGGGGGUAUGAUGGAAUUCGUUUUGGGAACUAUUUGGAGAUCCAUGAAGGGAGCAUCAACUUAAGCUAAGGCUAGGAGAUUGGAAGAAGAAAAUGGAAUUUCAAGCUUGUUCUUGCUUUCCCUUAAGCCUUAGAAGACAUUGGACCUCUCAUAAAGAGCCAUGGUCGAAGAAGAUUGAAGAAGAAGAUGGAGCUUCAAGGAUUCUACUCCUGUGGAAGAUUACAUUUUGGUUUUCUUCUAUAUCAUAAAACACUUUUUGUAAACAUGUAAUAUAGCUCAUUUUUAGGCCUUGUAUUUGGCCAAGACACUUUGUUUAAACUUUGUUUAGAAGGUUUGAUGGCUUUAAGAGUUAAAAAUGGAUUAAAAAUGGGUUUUGGAGGGAGUUAGUUGUAAGGAGCCUUUGCAUUAAAUGUUUUGACCAAGUUAGUUACAAAGCAUAAGGCUCCUCACAUUUAAUGCUUAGGCUCCUCAUUUAAUGUUUAGGCUCCUCAUUUAAUGAUGAGACUCCUCAUUAAAUGAUGGAAAGGCUCCUACAUACUCUAUGUACUAUAGCAUUCUCCUUCACUUAUAAAAGGAGACACACCCUUUUGUAAUCCUUAGAACUUGAUUGAAUGUAAAGUCCAUUUGCCAAAAUUUCGAGACCUAUCUUCUUGAGUUCUCACCUUAUCAAAUUGUCUUUUUCUAGGCUUUUUCAUACCUUCUCCUUCAUGGUUGGCCUAACUUCGUAGAAGGACAUAUCUAUCAAGACCAUACAACACCAACAUCUUCAUCUCUUCAUCUCUGUUUUCUUCCACUACUUUCAUUGAUCAUCAUGGAGUCCACCCUUUUGAAGAAGCUUCCUCAACUCAUCAUAGACAUCAUCUUAUGUUGAAGGAGCCUUUUCAAAGCAAUCUUCAUCAAGUCUACUUGUUGUACCUAGUAAAUCGUGGUUCUAUUUGCAUAUAGAUGUUUCCUAUGGCAUUAGUUGUUGAAAAGAGAGUGGUGACUCUCUUUGGUAUUGGUUGUUUAAAAGAGAAUGUCCUCUCUUUGUCAAAUAGUUGUAGAAAAAAGAACCGUAUUCAAGUGGUGAAUCUUCUAUACUGAAGGAAUAAAUGUUUGUCUUAUGUGAUAGGAAAACAUGUCCGAAAUUAGAAAAAAGAUGACUGGAAUCUAUCUAUAAAAACUUUAAAACAUAAGAAGAUAAAUAUUAUUUUUUAUCAAAUAAGUUGCGUGAAGAGAAAAUAUCGAUUAAUGUUGCAUGAAAUACAUGUAGUCCUUCACGUCAAAGCUCGACAAACAAAAGCAAAACAAAGAAAAAAAACAUUGAUUUAAGUUCUAAGCUACUUAAUAAGUAGAAAAGGAUAACAAUAGUACCCGUGUUCCAUACCUUGAUGAUAGUGUUCUAUCUAUUGACAUUCUUUGUUAUUUCUUAGUUUUAUUUGACUCAAGAACGAUUUAUUAUUAAUCUAUUAUUUGUUUAACAUUUAAUGUAAUCCUGUUUAUGAAUUGUGUAAUAAUAAUAGUAAAAACAAGUUACAAUUAUUUACUUUUUAUUAUUCGUGAAAGGAUUUUAUUAUUUACUUUUUAUUAUUUUUAUCAUACGAAAAAAUUGAGGAAAUUCUCAACUCAUCUCAUCCAAUAUCUUUUUUCUUUUUUUCACUUUGCCUAGAAUAUAUUUUUAUUAUUACAAUUAUGCCCUCACAUAACCCGACCCUAGCCUAAAGAGAGUUAGGGUUUCGCGCUUUUCGCUAUAAAUACCAAAACAGGGGUUUUUAUCGCCACAGGUUUACAUUCAGGGAUCAUCUUCUGGAAAAAAUCGACAUUGUUGAUAGAAAAGCGUGAGAGUUUCUGUUGUUCAGGAUGAGAGCUAAGGUUAAACGCAUUUCCUUUCAUUAUUCAUGUCUAUGUAAUGGUUAUUUUAUUUAUAAUUUACGUGCACUGAGCGUUUUAGGAUCCGAGUAUAAUCAUGAAUUUGUCUUUGUUCUCAGGAAUUAGGAUGUUUCUUUCGGUUAUCUGAUGUUUGAUGUGUUUUUUUGUUCGAUAUUGAUUUUGCAUCGUCUUUCUUUUUUCCUUUCUGAAUUGCUCAUGUAUUCCUUCUAAAUGGACUAAUAUGAUAUAUGCAGUUUGUUGUUGGGAAUUCGAUGCACUGUUUGAUUCUCGAAAUUGAGAAGAGCAUAUCGUUCGUUGGUUUUGGUUUUCGCAAGUGCCUUGUUGGAUAUAAAAUGAAUUGCAUCAAGUAUCUCAUUUGAAAUUAAUUAGAUUAGUUUUGAAUUUUGAUUCGAUUGGACUUGGUGUUUUUCGAUACAUGGGUACUGUUUCCUGUGUUCCCUUGUGUUACAACUUCUGAAUGCUUGUCUAAUUGCACAACUGACAGGAAUUUUGUGUAGUGAGUCAUUAAGAGGCCGAUGAAGUUAUGUUAAUUUCAUGAGGAACACAUUUAGGUUAAGCAAUGGUUCUUGAAUUAACUAGUGAACUUUGUUUUAUGCAUUUGCUGUCAAAAGCACCUGAUUCUUUUACAUGUUUGCUUCAAAUUUCAAAGCAGGGUAAGGGAGUGUUAGAGAAGGUAUCAUUUUAGUUAGCAAAGGGAGGGGAAAGAAAAUAAUAGUAUAUACUGUAAUACAGUAAUUCCUUUUAACAAAGGGGAGAAUGAUAGUUUUGUCAACAAAUUUUGUGAACACAGUUUAGUAAUGUGUAGAUCUUUCUUUUUUUUCCCCGUAAAUACGGAUGUGGAGGGAUUCUAGCUAGGAUGUCAAAAAAAUAUAAUAAAAAGAAAAUUUUUAUGGUUAAAAUAUCUUGAUAAAUAUUUUUUGUAAAUAUCUGCGGAUGCAUGCACGGAUUUGGAAACAUGUAUGGAGCUGGAUAUUGGAUAUUUAUCCAGCCGGAGGUAGCGGGGGACUAUCCGUCAAUUCUAGCCCCCCCCCCCCCCCCCCCCCCCCCCCCCCCCCCCCUUUUUUCUUCCAUCUACAAACAUUUUAAGCCAAACCAUGUAAAACUAAUAGUUCUUCUACUCUCCAUUUUCACUUCCACGGAAAAGUGAUUUGUCAUUUUGUGAGUGAUAAAGGAAGGAAUUUAACUCUUCUAAAUUGUGUGAAAUCAUCACCUUUUUUUUUUUUCUUUAAGUUGAUUCUGUGACUGCAGAGGAGUUAUAAAUCCUGAAGGGGAUACUGCGUUUAUAUUGGGUAAAGGCCUAUAGACAUUGCUUCAUAUGUACUGUAAAAAAUUGAUCCGUAUCAUUCUGCACAGGAUAUAUAUGUACUUCAUCUACUAUGGCUGUUGCAACAAGUUUCUGUUUUGCCCAUUUGUAUCAGACUAACAUAAUGUUGCUAUGUAUCAGUGGAAGAAGAAGCGCAUGAGGAGGUUGAAGAGGAAGCGCCGAAAGAUGAGACAGAGAUCUAAGUAGGUGCUUGAGCAGGAGUCAGAUGAGCUUUCCUUCCUAUACCUAGUUCAUGGCAUUUUGGGUUUUUAUGGCUCCAAUGAUCUCGAGGUCUAGUUGGGAGGGGAGGCAUAUCUCACGACUCAGUUAGCAUUACUGCAUUAAGACUAUUGAGUGGAUUAAGUUGUUAUGAUGAGUGUUUUAUCGUACCUAAUUAUGUACUGAUUUUGUAUACUUCUUGGUUUAUCCGAAUAGCUUAUAUAUCGUAAGAGUUUCCUGAAAUUUGAUCAUUUUAUAGAGAUGUUAAAAUAGAGUUGACUGUUCAGGCAACAUAAUUUACCUAUAAUUUUUAGCUUUUAUUUUAUUACCAGGUUUUUUUUUCCUGGUCCAUUGAACUUUUCUCUUCUAUAAAAUAGUUGUUAUAUUUUUUAAAAGUAAGAAGUAGCUUUUUUUUACAUGUAUUGAUGUAUUGCUUAUAUAUCGAAUUAUCGUAUUUAAAAUUAAAAUUAAUUUUAAUAAUAUGAUUUAAAUUCUGACUAAAAUGCCAAAAUUUUGCAGCUGGUUCCAGCACUAUAAGCUUUGCACCUGCUAAUUUUUCACACAUGUGUCGUAUUUAUAGGUUACUUAAAAGAUGGUCGUUUUUAGUUUUAAUUUAUUUAUUAUUUUGAAAUUUCUUAAACUUUUAUUUUAAUAGAAGAGUAUAUAUGGUCAGGGUUGCUUUGGACUACUUCUAUGGCUUGGCAUAAUUCAGUACUCUGUAUUAAAAUUACAGAUAACCAUACUAUAUUAUUCUUAAAAAAACUAAACUGGUUUUGACUUAAAAACUAAUUAACUAAUAGUUUAGUUUAAAAAAAUUAAACUUUACAUCAUUUCAGUACAGAUAACUGAGUGAACCAUUGAAUUUUUUUUUCAUAGUUUUCCUCUUCUCUGAUCAUGACACUUUCAGUUGUCUCAGUAAUACUUUUAUUUGAUUAUCUAACUUGUCAACUAUGGUUGCAUCAUUAUAUUAGAGUGAAAACAAAUGUGUGUAUUCCACCUUUUUGUUCGUGUUAGCACCCUUUUAUCUGUUUCUUGAAUAUUGGUAUGUUGGAAGGUAAUUUGAAUGUGUGUAAUACUUCUAAAACACUGUACUUAAACAUGGUCGUUCGUGCAACGAGCACUUAAAAGGAAGACUUUAAAAGGAUUGAGCAGAAACAGGAGCAUAUGAUGAAUUUCUUGACUAGGGCAGUUAAUUUUUUUUUUAUUUGUUAUCUGCCCUAUUUUGAUUUGUGAUUGAAAACUUCAGUUGAAUUUAUACUUUAGUUUAAUAUAAUACAAUUUGAUAGGAUAAAACAUAGUUUAGUUCAGUAUAGACUAACUAUGUUUUGGUUCAGUAUAGUUUUUAACAUUCAGUGCAGUUUAUUUUGUCCAGUCUUAAUAUUUCAAUCAACUUCUCUAAUGGAGUAGAGUAGUCUUAUGUAAGACUUUAAAAUUAUUAUAAAAACAAAUUUGUAAAUUGUUUAAAAUUCUUUAGAGUAUGCUCUGAUUAAGCAAAAUUUAUCAAGUUGCUUAGCAAUGAUGUUAUACAAUAUGGAUUAUAAAUUGCAUUUUUUUUCUGAAAGUAACUCAAAUGAGAAAUGUACUAAAAUAAUAUUUUAUUUAGUUGAUACUUUUAAGAUAGAAAAAAUAUUUAUUUUUUCAUAUUAUCUAAGAUUAUAUUAAGAUUAGGUGUUAUGUUUUUUCAUGUGAAUUUACUCUAAAGAAAAAAAAAUCUUAUAAGACGCAUGACAUAAACUAGGAUAUGUAUAUAUAUAACUCCUGAAAUAGAAUUAAACUUAUAUAUAAUUAUAAUUGUUUUGUCGAUAAAUUAUCUUUUUUAGUAUUUUAUUUAAAAAAUAUCAAUUUGGUAUCUUUAUUUCUAAGGACUUUAAUUUAAUUUUUUAUAAUUUACUAAAAAAAUGUGCUGUAUUUUAUUUUAUUGAAAAAAAUCAAUAUAAUAAAAGUAUAUGCAACCCAAGAAAGGUUAUAUGCAAAGCAAAAACAGAGACCGAAAUUUCGAUUUAUCCGAAUGGAGAAUCUAGUCGGUCACCCAGGCUUGACGAGAACUUCACAACUAUUGAAAAUUAAGGAAUUUAGAUGAGAUAUUGAAGAAAACAGAAUAUACAUUGCGCGUUAACCUUUUCAGCUUAAAUGUGUUUCUUUUAACUUUUAAUAAAAAUUAGAAUUAGUCAUCUUCAAAAUUUUUGUCUAAUUUAGUCCCAUAACUUUAAAAAUGUAUAAAUUUAGUUUUUUUAACCAAAUUUUGUUAACUUUAUUUGAUAUUUUAAACGUAUUUUUCAGUUAACAUUGAAACAAAAAUGGAUCAAACAGUGUAAACAAUCCAAAUACUAUACUUAAAACAUCAAAUAAACCUAAUAAAAUUUAGUUAAAAGAACUAAAUUUAUAUAUUUCUAAAAUUGGAGGAUUAAAUUAGGUCAAAAUUUUAAAAAGAAACUAAUUCUAAUUUUAACUGAGAGUUAAGGAGCAAAACCAUAUUUAACCUUUUCAAUUUAAAGAUAAAAGGCGUGUAAAACUUGAACAUGUUUCUAAUGAAGCUGAACAACGAAAGGAUUGAGCUUAAGAAUGGUACCAUUACAGGAGAGAGAGAGAGAGGGUUUAUACAUUUCAGAAAAAGUAACUUGAUUGAAUUAAAAUCAAGACUAAAAAUAUAUUUAAUUUUAUUUUUAAAUAUUUAUAGCAAUAUUUUUUUAUAUUUCUCACUUAGUAAUUGCUUGCAUCAGGUAUAAAAGGACAUUCUCAGAAAACAUUUGAUUCCUAACUAUGUCAUUUAGAAAAACACAUGAAAAUAAAAAUAAUUUCAAUUUCAGAUUCCUAAAGUUUUUAUUUGUAGUAAAAACACCCAUCUAAGUACUACUUUUCCAGACUUAAAUAAGACCAGGAUCUAUUCCUUUACAAUUCAACAUGAAGAAAACACAUUUCCAAGGUUUAUAUUCUCAAAUAUUUGAAAUCCUUAAAAUAAACAGUAAUGAUAUUUAUAGUAAUUUUUUUCUGUUGACAAAAAUAAGCCGAUGAAAACAAUUCUAACAAUCCUAAAUUUGUGUUUUGCUUUGAAAAGUUUAAGUUCUCAAAAGACAUUUAAUGAUAUAUUUUACAUAACCUUUAACUUUUUUCAUGAUAUAUUGAUAUCUAUAGUGUCAGGGAGGAACAUAAGGACAAUGCGUAGUACUCCUUCAACAAACUGAAAGUUCCAAAGGAUUCAUAUAGAGAAAAUAGGAGCAAGAAAGAUAUGUUCGAAUCGAUCAUUUCAUUAUUUACGAUGCCAAAAGGAAAAUUCAUAAGCACCGGCAAAUAAUGGAAAGUAAUAAAUAGUGUAUUCUAUAUAUCAUCAGAUGCUAUCCAAGCUGGCCUGUUUCUAUUUAGUUAUAAAAUGGUUUGUCACACUUUAAAACUAAGCUAUUUUUUAAUUUAAUAUAUUUUGAAUCAAACAAUUCAGUUAUCAGAAAAUAGGUUAUGACCCACCCAAUCCCAUAUAAGUGAGAGUUAAUAAAUUUAUAAUUAUCUUAUAAAUAGUAUACUUAUCAAGGUAAAUAAUUCACAUUUAUUUUUUACACAUCAAUUGUUAUCUAACGUACUUUACUAACUUAAGUGUCAGAUUAUUAUUUGUAGGCACACCACCAUCCAUCCAGGGAGGACGAGCACCUAUGAGAGAGCGGAAGGAAACUUACUUUAUGUAUAGAAAAUUGAGGAAGUUCAUGAAGAUCGUCUUCAUAGGGUACAUUCGGUUCUGUAAGUACAACUCACGCCCAUGUGGGGUUGAUAUUCUGUGAAGAAAGAGAGACCUCGACAUAUGCUCCCUUCACUAGAACUAGUUGUUGAGACAAAAUCGUUUAUACGUCUAAAAACUCUCAUGUUUUAAAGUUUAACCAAAUAACAUUAAACGAAAUAAAAAUAUGAAAAUACCAUAGGAUGAAACAUAAGACUUAGGCUCAAGAUCCCCAACAUAGAAAAACCUUAAGAAAACACUUAGGAUUGUAGAAAAAAAAAAAACUAAAUCAAAACACCCAGAUGCAACGCUAAAUGACUAUCACGUCAAAAUCACAAAACAUUUACAUCAAUCCAAACGGUACCAUGAGUUAAACUGUUACUUCGUCUAACGAUGAAAUUCCUACUCAAUGGUUGGUAUUUUUAGAAGAAAAGCUAAAUUGUUAAACGCUACCUCUGGUAGAAAAUUGAAAAGCACUUGUUGUUUUGAGCAAACAUUAAAUGACAUUAAAUGUUCAACGUUCAAAAACAACAAAAAGUGAUAAGAGAUAAGACAUAUUUGUUACAUGCAUAAUCUAUUCUAUUCUUUGUAGAUAACCUACUCUACACGCAUCUACAAGCUUCAAUUAAAAUAUCAAAAGUAUACGUUAAAGAUAAAAGAGAUAUUCACAGAAUGUUCUUCACUUGAAGCGGUGUAUGAAAGAAAGUACAACCUACUUUAAGCAAUGAUUGUUGUACAUGAAGAAAAAGAAGAAACAAGAAUCAAGGCCAAGAGCUUAGUCUAACAGACAUUUAUUCAAAGAGCCUUUAAAUAAAAGAUAAUUCAGAUGAAAAAUCAAGAGGAUAACAUACAACGUAAAUAUUCAUCCUUUGAGAAGCGUUCAAAAAGAAAAGCAUAGAAAGAGCUCAAGAAAAAUAAAAUAUCUAAGCAGAAAAAAAAGAAGAAGAAGAAAAAAAACAAUACUCUUGAGUUUCAUUGUAAUAUUUGCUUAGUGAUUGUAAGAAAGAGAGAAAGAGAAAACACACAAACACCUGCGACUGUUUAGACUGCAUUGUAUUGUAAUCAUAUCCUCUCUGCAAGAGUAAUAGUAUGAACGACUUGUAAGCAAUCGUUGAUUGCAAUUAUGAAGAGAAUUAAAACACUUGUUGAACUCGGUUGAGUUAAGGAAAUCUUUUGUGUAAAUGAAAUCUUAUGUUUGAUUGAUCAUAAAUAUAAUUUACGACUCUUCCCCUUUAUUUAGAUUUGAAUUAGAACAUUUUUGUUAUUUUUUUAGUAGAAAGAGAAAAAUUUGUAAUUAAGUAAGCGAGUGAGCCAACCCGUUUAACCUAUCAACUCGUGGUAGGCCGGGUUGGAUUCAAAUUUUUUUAACUCACUAAUAAGUGAGUCAAGUUGAAUUGACUCACUAAUUGGCCAAUCCGUGGUGAGUCGAGUCGGCCGGAUGAUCCAUUUUGACAAUUACUUGAAAUGGUAUAUUAAUUUUUUUUCCUAUAUGUAGUGAAGUUGGAGUAUUACUGAGCAACCAAAAGAAGCUUUAUAUGUUAUUGAUCAAUGUUGCUUUUGAUGGGUCAGGUUAGGUCAUAACCUCUUGUUUUUGUUGGCAACAAAAACUUAAUUGUUCCUUUCAUUUUUUAUUAGAUUCACUUGUCUCCUUAUGUCCAUGUCUAUAAUGUUUGUAACAUUACGGACCUUCUUUUUUGCUUUAGGGCUUAACGUUUGUCCCAAAUUAAACUAACACUUUAUGUUUAUUAAAAAGAUGUUCCAGAGCAUUUACAAUGUUCGACUAAAAAUAGAGUUAAUAUGGCAUCAGUAGAAGUUAAUUCAUAUGACAACUACAGGUUCUAAGCCCCAACAAACACAAUUCUCGUUGUCUGACCACUGUGAAUCUUUACGAAAUCCACCAGGUUUGAAGCCACAACGAACCACCACGAGCCUGCAUCGUUGUUAACCAUCAGUCUCUUACCACCGCGAACAACGCCUGAUAACUCUUUUGACAAGUAUACCAAAUCGCUCCAAGUAAUGAAAAGAAAGUUUAGAUUAUCAUUCUCCUAAAAAAAUUGAGUUACGUUAUCUAAUUGAAAUUAUUUAUCAAAAUCAAUUUAAUAACAAUGGAACUUUGAUUCAUGCAAACUAAAAGUAAUUAAAUUAACAAAAUAUUAAAACUUACUAGUUUGUAAAUUACUGAUGAGAUGUAUUUCAAACUCUCUUAACAAUUGUCUGAUAUGGAACCCACACAGGGUAUUGUACAGUUCAGUUUCUUGUAGAUCAAAGGAGAUAGCCGAAGAAUGAUAGAGAUGGUUACGUGUUCUAACAUUCAAGCUUGUUAACUGUAAAACAGAUAUUAACCAUCAACAUAGUGUGAAAUGAUGGUUUAUUGGUUUCCAAUAUGCAUUGACAGAAAGCAUUUGAAGUUUUUAAAUUUUAAUGUGUUCGGAGAAUGUAUCUAAAGAAAGGGGAGAAAAAAGUAUAAAGUAGUAACAUUUCUUUUGUCCUUGCUGAUAUGACAGCUUAUUCAUCUUUUAAGCAAGUUCUCUCUAUAUUCAUCUUUGUUGGUACAGACAUUUUUUUAAUGCUUCCUUGUAGCGCUAUCAUUCUUCUAACUGGUUCUUUGAACAACAAAACCUGCUCUACGAAUGUUUUUUUUCACAUUAGUUAUUUCAAUGAAAGGGGUAAGAAUUUGGAUUACUUUUUAUGUGUUAUUUCUCGACUAUGUCUUCAAAAUAUAGUGAUGAACACUAAUUUUGAUGUUUUAUAAAAUAUAUUAAAGAAUUUUAAUAUAUGUGUAUUUUUAAUGCUUGUAACAAAAACUCCAGCAGGAAAAGGGGUAAUCAUAUAUUCAUAUGGCAAUAAAAAUGGCAUGGAAAGUAAUUUGUAACCAAGAAACAAACCUACAAAUGGAUAAUACAAAUCAUUCGAAGAACUCAAAUUGCUAAAAUAUGUUAAAUCUAAAGCAAGGGAGAGAAUGCAAUCAGCAUUAUAUUAUCUGCUUGAGCCUUUUCAUUAUUCAUCUCUAGACACUAUGUUCAAUCAAAAUUUCAAGCAUUUGGUAACUUGUUUUACUUACCUAAUUAACAUCUGAAGGCAGUCAUAGGCCUACCUACUUUCUGUUAGGGGUAUAUGUCACUAUUCUGCUGCUAUUAAUUCCUUGAAGUCGAAUUGCAUACAAAGCCUUUCAACAGUACUUUGGCUCAGAACCUCCUUCCCACACAACUCUUUCAACAGGUCUGCAGCUAUAUCUGUCUUCUCUUCAAAAGCAAGUCCUUCCACAAGAAUGGUAUAGGUAUUCUCAUUAGGCACACAUCCUUUGUUAACCAUCAUCAGAAAUAUCUCUAUUGACAUGUCUGUUCUCCGAGCUUUGCAAAAUCCAAGUAUAAGUGCGUUGUAGUUAUCAAUAUUAGGAACGUGUUCAUUUUCUUCCAAAAUACUGAAUACCUUAAGAGCCUCAUCUAGCAUUCCCUCCCUACACAUUCCUCUUAUCAUAGAUGAAUAAGUAAAUGAAUCUGGAGUAAAUCCAUAUUUUGUCAUUUCAUAUAACAUCUGAAAAGCUGCAUAUGUGUUCCCUUUCCUACACAGGCUUGCAAUCACGUUUUUGUAAAAAUCAUGGAUAGGGUUGCUUUGUUUAUUACUCAUGCUUUGGAUUAUAAAAAAAGCCUCCUGCACUUUACCUUGCUCACACAGCAUUGCAACAGCGCAAUACGUUCCAUCAUUAGGAUUACAACGCCUGUGAAUCAUUUGGUCUAUGCAUUGAACAACAAGAUCCACUUUCCCUUCCUUGCAGAGUCGUGCAACAAUCGGAUUAUAGCUAGUAGCACUCACCUUGAAUCCACUCCUUGUCAUUUCAUCCAAAACCUGAAAAGCUUGUUCUGUUCUUCCGUGAAAUGAAAGUGAAGUAAUCAAUAUGUUGUAAGUGACCACCGAGGGAGACUGGUCCCUUUUAUCCAUCUCUGCAAGAAGUUCGUUAGCUUCCUCCCAUCGCCCUUCAUAGCACAAACUCCUCAGCAAAAUGUUGUAACUCACAACACUAGGACUGAACCCUUUUGCAGGCAAUUCCCUGAAAAGCCUGAUAGCUUCUUCAGUUCUCUCUUCCUUGCACAACCCAGUUAACAGCACAUUGUAACUAACCAAAUUAGGCUCUCCACCCUUGGCAAUUAUCUCAUCAAGAAGCUUCAUGGCCUCAUCCACUCCCCUUUCCUUGUAAGCCGCUUGGAGAAGGAAAGAAAAUGUGAAUGCAUUUGGAACCAAGCCCUUCUUUCUCAACUUAUCCAAAAGCUGCAAGCUCUGCUUCAAGUUACCAUGCAUGCAAAGGCCUUUAACAAGAGUGUUAUAGGUAACAGUAUUAGUUGGAAGACCAUGCCCCUCCAUCUUCUCAACCAACUGAAGAGCAUACCCAACAUUGCCUCUCCUGCAUAAAAAAUUGACCAAGUAUGUAUAAGAGGCUGCAUCAGGUAUAAUACCUGAAUCAACCAUCAUAUCCAUCACCUUAACAGCCUUUCUAGCUUUGUUAAACUUGCAAAGAUCAUACAAAAGCUGAGUUGCUUGAGUCACCUCUGGCUUUUGGCCCUUACCCACCAAAUACUCUAAAUGGAGAAAUGCAUCAUAGACCUUUAGCUCUUUGCCCCUAGGGUCAUUCCUCCCACCUCUCCAAUUGGGGAGAUUAAAAACCGCAUCUUUUGGGGUAAUGGCAAUCUGGGUCGAAGCCGAAACCCUAGAAAAACCCUUGUUCAUGGAAAAAGUGUGGAGAUUCGGAACCUGGGAGUGCAAGAAACCGCCACAAGUGGGUCGUUUUGUUUUGGGGGAUAAAUUUGCAGCUGGUGACACAGUAUUCAGAAGUGAAGCCAUGAUUGAAGUAGGAAAAUGAAGUAUAACGAUGGUGAAUGAGUCCUAGUUGAUCAUGUUUUGCAGAUAGAACAAAAACUAAGAAACAUUGUGGACAGGUUCUGCUUGCAAUAGGUAUGUUGAAACUAGUUACAGUGGAUACACAGUGAUGUGUGAAGAUUGAUUCUUCGCGAGAAUUAACAAGUGAGAAAGUGAGUGUGAAAGGGAAAGAGAGAAAGGUACCAACAACUGAAGAUUUUCAUUCAAUAGCGUCAGCUACGUUCCCACCACACCUACGUUUUAUCGUGUUAUCCUAACACAAAUAGUUAUAUGUUUUUCUUUGAUAAUGUUAAUUUGAGAAUAAUAUUUUAGAAAAUAUUUUAAGUUUUGGUUCAAAUUAUUUUAACAUCAAUAAUAAUAAUUAUUAUAAAUAUUAAUAUAAACUAAUAACAAAAUAACACUAAUAUUAAAAUUAAAAUGUUGUUAAAAUAUCAAUAUUUUUUUCAGAUAAAAAUAAUUGUUUUAUUUUCACAUUCGACUUACUAACUUUUUUUCAUGGUCAAUUAUAAAAAAAACGAAAUACUUUUAUAUUUAUUUAACACAUGAUAUAAAAUUAAAAUAGUUAUAAAAUAUAAAUUUUUUAUAUUAAAAAAAUAAGUAAAAAGUUAGAAUAAUAUUAAACGAGUAUGAAAAUUUUAGAUAUACGAGAGAAUAGUUUUGAAGAGAAAAUAAAUGGAUUGUAUGAAAAUAGAACAAAUAUAAAAAAAAUACUAAAAGAAAAACAUAGAAAGAAUAUAUAAAUAUAUUAAACAUAUAUUUUAUUUACGAAACCAAUAUUUAAAUACAUAUAUAGAAUAAACUAGUCUCUAAGUCACUAAAUUAUUUUAUUACUAGUGAUUAGGCUUUUAAAUUAAAAAAAAUGCAGUAAAAUUAUUAGUUUACGGGAGUUAAUUUAGUUGGAUUAAGGUUACUUGAAACGAUGAUUAGUAGCCAAUGUAAUAUUUGACAAGUGUUUAUUUAAAUCAUUAGUUUUUUAAAUAUUUGUUAUAUCCAUUGAAUAUAAUUUUUUUCAAAGAUUGACUAGUAGAUGUAAACUUUUAAAGCUUCUUUUAGAUUAUGUUAAGUUAAUUUUUAAUUAAAAUUCAUUCUCUUUUUUAUUUAUAUGUUGAUUUAAAAAAGCAAUUUUAAUAAUUUAAAGCAAGUUAAAUAGACUUGGAAACUUGUAUAAUUAUUCUUAACAGAAAUCAACAUAUUAUUUACUAAUGCUGUAAGAGGUGUAUCUUUUUUAAUUUAUUAUAUUUCUAAUAAAAUAGUUAACCUUUUUAACGUUUAAUUUUUUUAAUUUUUCAUGCGCCAAUGUCAAGUUUGAGACAAUUUAAAAAAGAAAUCCAAUCAAUUUCAAUUUUUAAUAAUUUUAAAAUUAUCAUUUUAACAUACGAAAACUUAUUAGCUUAUUCUUUUUAUAUUUAACCUCAUAAUUAUAUACCAAAAAAAGGAUAUGCAGUAUUUUAAGGAGACCCUAAUUCUCACUUAUGUCUUUAUAUUUAUUUAUUCAUUUUAAAAAUAAUCUUUUCUUAAUUUUUUUCUCUACAAAUUCUUUUAACAAAAAGCAAUUUACCUUUUCAAAAGAAAAAAAGGGAGCUUAAUAAUAGAAGAAUAUUAGAAACCAUUAAAAUUUACCCGACCCGAUAGAGCUGAAUCCGAAUACAAAAAAUGGAUCCAAAUGAAUGAAAUGAAGAUUGUGACUGUGUCAUGUGUGUAGGCUCUGUUUUGCUACCUUUGUCACUUCUCGCUCUCGUAAAACACUUAAUCCUUCCUUGCGGAAGCAGCCACCUUCAACAAAGGUGGCUCCCUCUGUGCGCACUAACCUCCCAUCUCACUUGGGUCACAGUCUUGUUAAGGCAGCUUUGAAUGUCGGUGAUUUAAGGCGUGCCCAACAACUGUUUGAUAAUAUUCCUCAACCAGACCCCACCACUUGUUAUACAUUAAUUUCAACUCUCACUACUUAUGGAUUUCCACAUGAGGCUUUAAGGAUCUAUGCUUCGCUUCGGGCACGUAGGAUCAAACCCCAGAACUCUGUGUUUCUGGCUGUUGCCAAGGCCUCUGGUGCCUCUGGUGAUCUCUUGAGAGUCAAGGAGAUUCAUGAUGAUUCCAUUCGAUGUGGGAUGAUUUCUGAUGUUUUCUUAGGAAAUGCAUUGAUUCAUGCCUAUGGGAAGUGUAGAUGCAUUGAAGGUGCAAGACAGGUUUUUGAUGAUUUGGUUGUGAAAGAUGUGGUUUCUUGGACCUCCAUGUCUUCAUGCUAUGUCAAUUGUGGAUUGCCCAGACAAGGCCUAGCUGUUUUUCACGAGAUGGGACGGAAUGGGGUGAAGCCUAAUUCAGUGACAGUGUCUAGCAUUUUGCCUGCGUGCUCGGAAUUGAAAGAUCUGAAGUCUGGAAGGGCUAUUCAUGGAUUUGCAAUGAGAAAUGGGAUGAUGGAAAAUGUGUAUGUCUGCAGUGCUCUUGUGAGCAUGUAUGCUAGAUGUUUGAGUGUUAAACCGGCUAGACUAGUUUUUGAUUUGAUGCCUCAUCGAGAUGUUGUGUCUUGGAAUGGAGUUUUAUCGGCAUACUUCACAAACAAAGAAUAUGAGAAGGGUCUUGCCCUGUUUUCCCAAAUGAGGAGCAAAGGAGUCAAAGCAGAUGAAGCUACAUGGAAUGCUGUUAUUGGGGGUUGCAUGGAAAACGGGAAAAUAGAGGAGGCAGUGGAGAUGCUUAGGAAGAUGCAAAACAUGGGAUUUAAACCUAAUCAAAUUACAAUUAGUAGUUUUUUACCGGCUUGCUCUCUUUUAGAAAGCUUGAGGAUGGGCAAGGAGGUACAUUGCUAUGUCGUUAGGCAUUGGUUAAUUUGGGACUUGACAACCAUGACUGCGGUGGUAUACAUGUAUGCUAAAUGUGGUGACUUGAAUCUUUCAAAGAAUGUGUUUGAUAUGAUGCACAGGAAAGAUGUUGUUGCUUGGAACACGAUGAUAAUUGCCAAUGCAAUGCAUGGAAAUGGAAAAGAAGUACUUUUGCUGUUCGAGAGCAUGCUUCAGUCAGGGAUGAAGCCCAAUUCUGUUACUUUUACUGGUGUUCUGUCUGGUUGUAGCCACUCAAGGUUGGUAGAGGAAGGACUCCAGAUCUUUAAUUCAAUGGGUAGGGAUCAUCAAGUGGAACCUGAUGCUAAUCACUAUGCAUGCAUGGUUGAUGUCUUCAGCCGUGCUGGUCAGCUUGAUGAGGCAUACGAGUUUAUACAGGGAAUGCCUAUGGAGCCAACUGCCAGUGCUUGGGGAGCACUUCUUGGUGCUUGUAGAGUUUAUAAGAAUGUGGAAUUGGCAAAAAUUUCAGCCAAUAAAUUAUUUGAGAUUGAACCCAACAACCCUGGAAAUUAUGUUUUAUUAUUCAACAUCCUUGUCACAGCCAAAUUGUGGAGUGAAGCUUCAAAAGCGAGAAUAUUGAUGAAAGAGAGAGGAGUUACAAAAACUCCAGGCUGUAGUUGGCUUGAAGUGGGAAAUAGAGUUUACACUUUUGUUGUUGGAGACAAAAAUAACAUGGAGAGUGAUAAAAUCUAUGACUUUUUGAAUGAGUUAGAUGAGAAAAUGAAAUUGGCCGGAUAUAAGCCUGACACUGAUUAUGUUCUGCAAGAUGUUGACCAAGAGGAAAAAGCUGCUAGUCUUUGUAGCCACAGUGAGAGGCUCGCUGUUGCAUUUGGGAUUCUUCAUUUGAAUGGACAGUCAUCUCUACGGGUUUUCAAGAAUUUGAGAAUUUGUGGUGACUGUCACAAUGUCAUUAAGUACAUUUCUAAAAUUGUUGGCGUGACAAUCAUCGUUAGAGACUCCUUGAGGUUUCAUCAUUUCAGAAAUGGAAAUUGUUCUUGUCAAGACUUGUGGUGAUUAUUUGAAUCAGGCUGUUGUUCUUCUCAGAACUUGUUGGAUAUGAUCUUUAAAUUCUUUUAGGUUCAACAGCGGUUUGGUCCGCCAUUAUGCCCAUGUCAGAUUCUUAGCAAAAAAUCAAAUUCCUCUCAAGAAAAUGCUUCGAUGAGGUUGCUUGCACUGUGCAUUCAUCAUGCAGUUAAAACAAUAUCGGAGGACCUUUUUCUGAUUAUUCUCCGUAUUUUGUGAUGAAAUAUGCUGAUUGCUUCAGUUAUAUAUGGAUAGAAUCGAAUAGACUGAAUGAAUAUAAGUUGAUUGCUUGUUGAAAUAAGUUCUGUGCCUGAACUUCCACUUCAUUGAAAGCCACCUUAGAGUUGCCUCUAUGGACGGAUGGCGUGCAGUGAGUACUCUCACCAUUGAAAACUGCAAUAUUUUUCUUUUGCUAGUUGCAACUUGCAACACCUCUUCCCAGCUUCAUAAUCUUCAUGCAGAGUGGAUGAUAUUUUCAGAGUGCUUCCAAACCAAAAAAUCCCUCCUUCAAUCAACUUCUUUUCAUCUAGAAGCAUCAUACUAAUUGCUCUCUGAUCCUCACUUACCAAAUUUAAUAGGGGUCAACUGCUAGCCUCAGCAACAGUUUCUUGACGCCUUUCUUGCUCCACCUCAUAUUUACCCAUAUCUGCAAGACAUAUAUCACUUCUUGGUUACAAAAAAUAUCCAGCAAGAGAAGCAUACCAACACUUAAUUAGUGGAAAAUUCAAGAGUUCAAUUUGCAGUGAUUUAUAAACCCAAUGAAAAGAUCUUUCACAAAUUUGUCAUAGUUGGAGGCUUACAAGGAGCCAAACUGGAAAAAUUUAGACACAUUUGUUUGAUUGUCUGUGCCACUUCUAUAAAAUAAUGCAGUAAUAUAUAUACAGAACUAGUGCAGAAAAGACAUAUUAUGACAGGUAAAAUGGACGUAUUAUGACAAGUGUUCUAGCAUUGCCUGAACUUUGUUUUUGAGUGAUUUUUCAAUUUUUUUCCUUGGAUGAGCAAGUUUUCUCAUCAUUGGUGGUGUUUAGUCCUUAGACGAGUGACUUUGCUCAUCAUUGGUGAUGUUUAGUACACUAAAAGACACCUUUAUUCUUCAAUAUUAGAGGCUAAAGCCUAGACAUGUGGUUUGAACAAAGGUGGGUCAAAACCAUGAGCAUUGAUGCCCAAGUUAUGCACUAGACACCACCAAUGAUCAGGAAACUCACUCAUCCAAGGAAAAACUUUGAAGAAAAUCACUCAAAAACAAAGUCUAAGAAACCUUGAAGAGUCUAGUUUUCCUAGCUGGGGAGCCACGUUCAACUUUUUGUACAACUUUCCAAAAUGUCUCUGAUAAUUGAUUAUAAGGACCUUGUAAUCGAUUAUCACGGCCUAAGUUGGACACUAAUGCUCAUGGUUAUGACCCACCUUGGUUCAAACCACCUAUUUGGGCUUUGGCCUCCACAAUUGAAUGAAGUAAGGUAUCUUUUGAUUCAUAAACACCACCAAUGAUGAGGAAACUUACUCAUCCAAGGACUAAACACCAAUGAAAUUUAGUACCGAGAGAGAAAAUAAAAAUGCUAAACAUUGUUAGAUUAUAGAGUAUACCCUUGUUAUUUAGGAAUUCUCUUUUAGACUUUACUGUUAUUGUAUUUUGAUCUUGAAAUUGGAAUAUUUGAUUUGGAUUUCUGAGAUUUUUUGUUCUUCGCAAUUGGAAACCUUUGAUGAUGGUGGUGUGAGAUGGAGCGGUGAGCAUUGAUGGGUUGCGGCCCAACUGACAUAACAAUGGUGAAAACAAAAACAAAAAAACACAAAAAGAAAAGAAAAACUCUUCUAGUGUCUCGGAGGCAAAAGCACACACUUUUUUACCUCCGUUCAUAACUCAUUGUAUAUGAAAAUAACCACUAACGGUUUUUUUACUGCUGAUAAUUGAUUCAAAAUUAAAAUUUAAGGUUUUAAAUUUGAGAAAUUAUUACUGUUAUUUAAAAACUAAAAAAAAAAUAUUUUUACUUUUAGAAUAAAUUAAUUUAAAAACAAAUCAAAUGGAUAAAAGAAUAAAAGAAUUGUUUAGAUAGACGAAUUUUUAGGUGAGUGUUUAAAUGUUUUUAUUAUUAAUAGCUAUAUAUAUUUAUAUAUAUAUAUAUAUAUAUAUAUAUAUAUAUAUAUAUAUAUUUUAAAUAAUAUUAUUUUAAAAACUGAUUAAGUUUGACUUGAUUGUAUAUAUUUUAUCUUUUUAUGUUUUUAUUUUAUAUAUAUAUAUAUAUAUAUAUAUAUCUAGGGNUAUAUAUAUAUAUAUAUAUAUAUAUAUAUAUAUAUAUAUAUUUUAAAUAAUAUUAUUUUAAAAGAUAAUUUUAAAUUUAAUUUAAUUUGUAUUUGUAAAUAUAUUUUUAAAUUUAAUUUUAUUAUAUAAUCAAAUAAUUAAAAAUUAAAAAAUGAUAAAAUUAAGAAUAAAAAGUAAGUUAAAAUUUAACUUUUAAAAUAGUAAAAUAAAUAUAAAUAAUAAAGUAAAUUAAUACUAAACAGUUUUUUUUUUCAUAAUAAUUUUACCUCUGGCUAAAGUUUUCCUAAACAAGGUUAACCUAACAUCUCUGGGUUUUCUAGUUGGAGAAAAAACUCACUAACAUUCUAGUUUUGUCCUUCAUCCACCACAUGUCACCAUUCACUACAUCCUCAACCUUUGUCACACACACUUGUCGCAUAACCAUGCAAAGAGAAAGCCACGUAUCACAGCAAUAAGGCAAUAAAGCCACCCAAUUCACCAUCAUCAUCUCUCAUCAUGCAAAUCUUCAACUGAAUAACAACAGAGUUGAGUAAAGCAAUAAUGGCGAAGAGCAAAGAUGACAUAAAGUAUGCAACAGCACAGGCAAGGCUUUCAGAAGAUGAAGCAGUAAGGGUGGCGUAUGUCAACGGCACUCCCCUUGAAGGGGGAAAGAUCUCUGAUUCUCAACCAGUUGAUAUGUUUGCAAGUGCACGCAAUGUUGCACCAAAAGAUUCAAACGCUGAUAAUAAUCAAUCUCAGAUGCAGAAAAGUCGCAGACCAGAAGAAGCUUCUUCUGCAGAAUUCACCAGGGAUAAACUCUGAACGCCAUUAACGACACAACAACCUUAAAACUUUACGUGUGUGUGGUUUUGUAGUCUUUCUUGAUCCUUUGUUUCUUUCUUUUUGGUUUUGAUUUUUCCCAGUGACGUGCAUGGCAUGUUAUCAACAAAGAAUGUGAUGACUUCCUAAGUUUUUCUAAUAAAAUAGAGGUUUUUUUCAGACUAUUCCAUUUUUUUUCUUUCAUAUGAUGUUUUGCAUGCUUGUUUGAAAGCUUUCUACAUAUUGAAGAAGAGUGAAAAGUCAUCAUAUAUGGUGAAUUCAAGAAGAGUGCAUCAAUUUUUAUAUAGUGUUAUAUAUAGUGUUACUUUGAUAAUGUUAUGGGACGAUUUUAAAUUAAAAAAAUAUUAAAUUAAAAGAUUUUUUUUUAAAAGAAAAUUAAAUAUUUUUUUAAUUUGAAAUCGGGUAUAAUUGUUACAUGUGAAUUAUCAAAAUGGUAUUAAAAAAUUAAUAUUAAAAUAUCAUUUUCCGUGAAUUUAAGUCUGCACUCGGGCUUUGAAGAGAAAAAACAACAAAAAGAAAAAGCUAGAAAAAAAGCUAGGAAGGAUACGACUUAUCGCGUCAACUAUAUAUUUCUUUUAUUAUAAUAAUUAAAAAUAAUGUUUAUCACAAUUAUUAAAAAAUGAGAUCUAAAGUAAAUAAUUAUUAUAAUUUUAUUAUAUUUUUUUAUUAUAGAUAAUAAACUUGAAUUUAUAAAAAUAUAUAAAGAAAAGAUAGUAAAAAGUUUAUAUUAAUAAAAAUAAAAUCAGUGAAUAGAAAAAAACUAACACUAUUAAUAAAUCAAUAAUUUUUAUUGAUAAAUAUAGAUUAUAGAUAAUAAAUAAAUAAAUUUAUUUUGGUUUACUCGAAAACCUUGUUUAUUUUCUCUUUAUUAAUGCACACCGAGACUUGAAAAAGGAGAAUAAUCAGAUACAGGCUUUUCUCACUCCUCCCUCUCCGUCACACCAUCACUUACCUCCGUUAAUCGAAUCACAAUGGAAACUCACGAAAACGACAGCGUCGUCAUCGAGGCGGAGCCUUCCACUUCCCACGCUCCCGACGGCGAAGAUCCCCUCCGUCAGAGCUCCGAAGUGUUGGCGAGAGGCUUGUCUUCCAUGCUCUCUUCCGUGAUUACUGAUUUCGAUUGCAGAGCUAACCAAACUCUCCGAAGCCAGGACCACCUCUCUUCCGUCCUCGAUCGUCUCACUGGAGGUUUAUCUUUGUUUCUUCUUCUUCUUCUUGUUUUUUUUUUUUUUACAACAUUGUGCCAGGUUUGUUAUUUGUCUUUGCCAACGAUUCAAUUUACAAGCAGUGCAUUGCAAGUAGUUUUAUUUUUUCCCUUUAUUUUAUUAUCUCUAUAGUUAUCUGUUGAAUUGGUUGAAAAUUGGAGUUAGUUCUAUGGUUGGUUAUAGUUAGUUGAAUAUGAGGCUCUUGUGUAUCAACAGGGUCUUGCGUUCCCUUAAACACGUAAGUUUUGGUAUGCACAUUUGAAAUAUAUUUGUUAUACAAAAUGGUCAACCUCUUAAAGUGAUCUCAGUUUUUCCAGAGAUUAGUCCUUAGCCCCUGCACGAGGAUGCCCUGGUUCACCCAAACAAAAUUAUCAUAUAAGGCUCUUCUGUGUAAUUGUAGUUUUCUUUAUCUUUUCAAUUCAUAAUACUUUUAUGAUAUUGCCAUUGCUUUUCUGAUUAUUAUUAUUAUUUUUUAUUUGGGCGUAUUAGUUUGAGAGUGAGUUUUGUUAUGGCUUUUGGAAAUUUAACAAACUUUGUUUGUGAUUGGGGACAUAGGCCUAGAGCAUGCUUGUAACAGGUUCUUUAGGGUUCGGGCAGUCCAUAAAAUAAGCUAAUCUAAUCCAAACGUUAAGUCAGCUUACUUGGUGAAUUGAGGUCCAUGUCAAAUUGCAUGUAUAUUGUUAGUGAACUGAUCAAGUGAAUUGCUCAUGCGAAGAAAUUCCUUGUGUUCUACUUACUAUAUGAAAUUGUGAAGUAGUAGCUCUAGUACUAAACUGUAACACUAUUGUGUUCAACUUACUAGUGUCCCAAAGAAGCUCAUUAUUGUACGGAUGGAACUAAUACCAGAAUAUGCACUUUUGUGGAUAUACAACAAACACAGGUGAGGUUUUUCUCAUGGUUAUCGAUAUCAAAUAGCAGCACAUAACAACCAUCCUCACAAACACUGUAUUGAGAUAGUGGAUUGCAGGAUCCCAAUAUUGAUUCAAGGUAAAUAAUUUAUACCACACAUAUAUUAAUACUAAAAAACAAAAGAUUAAAAAUUCAAAGAUAUUUAUAUUUAAUAAUCGAAAAACACAUUCUUAAGCUAAGCACAUUAGUUAAUCAGAACAAAAAUCAAGAAAUCAAGUGUGAUUUUCUAAGCAGAUGAUACUAUUAUUGCUUCAGGGUGAAAUUGAAGUUUUAAUAAAACAGAAUAAUUAGGCACAAAACACAGAUAGAACAGAAGGGGUGAUCAGUAGACUAAGGAGUACUUAGGAGGAGGACACAAGAGAAAAAAUAAACAGGGUUGAGUGACAAAACAGAAGCAAAAAAGGGCAAGAACCUUAAGACUUUUGUGAGAACUGAAAGCAAUAAAGGAAGUGCACACGAUUGAUGAAACAGAGUAUGUAUAAAACAGAAAAGUGGGUAAGCCUAGUCUUUGCUGAAAAAUGCUUGGCCUGAAAUUAGGGAUGUAAAAAAUGGAGCCAAACAGAUUUUAAACGUCAAACCUGAACCAAAAAAAAGUUAAAACUUGAUCAAACCAAAACCGUAAAAGGAACAACUUUUAUUGUGGUUUACAUUGGUUUUUUCACUUGCUGUUAAAACUAAACUAAACCAAACCACUCCAAUAAUGUGCUUAUAUUAUUUGUAGCAUUAUGUAAUGGUAUUUUGAAAUUAUGAAUGAUAAUAUGUGGGUUGGAGAAUAACAUUGACUAUAUAUGACUAAUUGAUUGUGAAUGGUUCAUUACAUACUUCUUCAUAUUUAUAAUGGGUGUUGAGGAUCUUACAUUGUCCUGAGAUAUGGUCAAAUUAUGUCAAAUUAUAAUAUACAACUGAGGUGCAAUAUUCACCUUUCAAACAAUUUUGAGAAGUUAAAUUAAGCUUAAAGUCCACUUUUUAAGAAUAGGUUUGUGAUGCAAUUAUUAUCAUAUGUUUCCUUCUACUUCUCUAUUACUUAUGGUUAUGUAAAUAAAAUGUUCAAGGGUUAAUCAUGAUUCAAUUAGUUAUCAGAUUCCACACUAAUUUGUUGGUUGUUAUAUUGAAGAUAUUUCAAAAGUCAAUUUGUACCUAUUUGAACCGCAAGAGAUUAGUUUGUUUUAGUUUGGAUUCAAAACUGCCUUCAAAUCAAACCAUAUUGAACCCUAUAUACUUUUAUGUUUGGUUCAAAUCAUUUUUUGUCUAAAAACCAAACCAUGAAUGACCCCGCUAAAUCCAGCAAGCGCUUGUUGAUUUGUGUCAAAACAGGCAAGAAAGCAAUUCAUGUUGCAUGAAUAAAGCUUUGAACAAGGUUUCUGAAUACCAUCCCUGACGCACAGUGAAAUAAUGGAACUCUGUAAUCGGUUUCAGCUCUUACAGCCACUACGGAGAACUGCUCCACUAUUUUGAUUCUGUAGUGACCAAGGCUGCUCCAUAUUGCCACUGCAGUGAACUACUGACUAUUACUUUGCUAUACGGUCAAGAGAGAGAACAGUUGAUCACAUUAUUUUUCUUGUGGUUCUUAGGUUUGUCUCUCCAGAUGCUUUGGAAACGUUGGAAACAAUUUAAACCUGAGUCUUGAGCGAGAAAAGUAGGCACCUUUAGUACUUGAUCAUAACUUUUAGCCUCAAUCUCUCUAACCUUUAUAUUUUGGAAACUUGGAAAAGCCUUGAAGAGAAGAAAGUAUUGCUUGUUAUUAUAAGUAUACUGGAAGAUGGAAGAAUGUGCAAUUCAUGAAGAUGCAUUGUCUAGUGUACUGGAGGUGCAUGGGAUUUUGAUUUCUGUGGUUAGACUUAGAGUUUUUGUUUGUCGCAUAGUAUCUAAAGUUGCACAAUAGUUAUAGUCUAAUUUUAUGCAUUUGCUUGCUUUAGUUGCUAUUGGAAGAAGAAUUUAUCUGAUGCAGCUGCUAGAUACAAUUAUUGGACACUCUCAAAUAAUGUUUGCAUUACGAUUCUGUUAUUAAUUUAGCAUGAUGCAUAUACUGAAAUAAGCAAGUUAAGCCGGAAAGUUAUAUGCUCCUGAUGGGCUAAUUGAUUCCAGUUUUUUCUUUCUUAAAUUACUGUUUGCAACUGACAAUUCUGUUGUUAAUUGGGUUUGAUACCUUUGUUUAACCCUCUUAUAAAAUUCUUAUGUUGGAAACAGUUAUGCCAAUGAACUAUGUGGUCCAUAUGGGCAAAAUUCUGUAGAGGGUUGAUUUCAUAGCCGGGGGGGGGGACGUUUUACACAGAAAAGUUGAGAUCUAUUUAAAUUAAUGUCUUGGUUUGAACAUUUAUUUUAAAACUCUAGAGAAGACUUCAUUCCAUGUCAGUGAAAACAUCUAUGGUAUAGUGUAGCAUACUUUUUGAAAGAUGCUUUGCUUAACCUCCAUAAAAGAGUGUUUUACUAUCAAGUGUUGAAAACAGAGCGUGAAAGUUAUAUGUGUAUAAAGCCAAUUAGAUAUUCCACUGACUUUAAAAUGUAAAAUAAACUACACUCCUCCCAAGAUAACUAACCUAUAUACUUGUCUGCAUUAUGACAAAAUUCUAGUGCUCUUGUAGUCUCCCUCCAUGUUGUCUUCAUUAGCAUGUCAAACUUGUGGCUAUGGUAUACAAGUUUUUCCUUUGCUAACAUGCUAUAAUUUCUGUUCAGUCCUUCAGUCACGCUUAAUCUUAAUGCCCUAACUAAAGAUUCUCCUAUUACUUUAAGAUGUCUUAAUUUCUUAUUACCCUAGGUGUCCAGUUUGCUGACCUGAAAUUCAUCUUUUUCUUUGGCAGAACUUGAUCAGUUGCUUGAAGAUGCACCUUUGCCAUUCAUAAUGCAGCAUGCUGCCAAGAUUUCCAGUGUUAGGAAAAGAGUUUCAUCCCUGAAUUCACUUCUAAAGUCCAUACAAGGGCGGAUUGAUAAUAUAGAUCGCAUGAUAUCUUUUGGUACUGCUCAUGGUAUAGACAUAUCUCCAGAGACUUUAUUUCAUGGUUGUUUUCUAAUAAUUAGUAACUUAGUAUUGGAUUUUUUUUUUGCUUUUGCUGGUCUCCGCCCCUGUGUAUGCUCUCUCCCUUUAGUCAGUUUACAGUUUUAUAUCUCUGUGCAAAGUUUAAAUAAAAUUUGCACUCAAACUUUAAAUAAAAUUUGCACUCAAACUUUCUGACCAUUUUUGUCAACAAUCUAUAUCCGAAAGGUUCUAGAUGAAUUUACCAGUCAUUGUUACAUAUUUCAUCAUGACAAAAUCAAAAAAUAAAAUUUGCACUCAAACUUUCUGACCAUUUUUGUCAACAAUGUAUAUCCGAAAGGUUCUAGAUGAAUUUACCAGUCAUUGUUACAUAUUUCAUCAUGACAAAAUCAAAAACUGAAGCAUGUGAGAUUAUAAUUUUCUUCCUUAGUAGGGGCAAGUGACUCUGGUCAAAUGAUUUCAAAUAUGUGCUAUUGUACUGCAGGAAUUUUGUUUUGCUUUAUUUAAAUUUCCUUAUUAUUGUUAUUAAUAUAAUUGUUAUAUUUGCUUUUAUAAUCUCAAAUAGCUUGUGCCUCUGUGCUUGUGUUAAGUUGUCCGAGAGUCCAGGUUUAGCUUGUCAACUGUCAAAGUGUAAUCUUCUCGGCUAUAUUUAAACCUUGGCUGCAAAUUUUUCCUCUAUUAAAUGAAUUAGUAAAAGCUCUCUUCCACGUAAACACCACCGAAAACUAAUACUUUGUGCUAUAUAUAUUUGAAGUUAAUAGUUCGUGUCUUUCACCACUUUCAUGCAAACAAGUUAUAAGCUGAACUACAUCAGUUUACAUCACUGUGUACGACUUAAGGAUUCCUCUUCUUAGCCUAGCUCAUAGCUCUGACCUGGUUUCCUCUUUGUUGGAGAAAGCUCCCUGACAACUUUUUCUUUACUUUACAAUCGAGUUUUAUCCUUUAGGCUUUAAGAGGAACUGUUGAAUCCACAUACACUUGCCAUGAGAGAACUGGAAUCAAUCACUCUAGCUGGCAUUUUCCAGAUCAAUCAUGGAGUCAUUGUGAUAGUUAUCUUAUCGAGCAGACCACAAGCAUCACGGCUGUUCUGGCCUGAUAAGGAAAGUGGUCAGUAUCCACUGUAUGCUUAAAUCUGCUUCUAGGGCCACUGAAGAUUUUGACAACCUUCUUAGUGAUGAUAUCUACUGUAGCUUGAGCUGAUUAGGAUUGACUACUACUAGACAAAUGAUCAGAAGUCCUAGCAUGUGACAAUCUGAAUUGAUAACUUGCCAAAGUGAGCGCUUUGCCUUUUUAGUUGACAGGAAGGUCGAGCUUGCAUUUUGCAUAAGAUUUUUCGCAACAAGCAGACAAGAUAGUGAUUUUUUUUUUUAUUUACAGUGGCUAGUAGUUGGAUAAAUAGUUGUCAAAGAACUCCGAAGACUAAAACGAGGAUGAAUGAUUUGUACUCCAUUAGUUAGCCUUGACUUAAUUAAUAAUAUGCAUACUUCAACCUUCUUUUGAAUUCCCAUUCUUAUACCAACUUAUUUUGUGUGCAAUUUUGCAGAGAAAAACAACCAAUGAAGUUCUUGGUUAAAUGUCGUCAGAAUAAGCAGCUUCCAUUCUUCCCUCAUGUACUUAAUAUGUAAUGUAUCCUUGAAUUGAAUUCUUAUUGUCAAGCACAUACCAGCUUAGUGCCAGUUAAGGAGUAAGGAUUUUAGAAUAGGAAUCCAGUAACAAGCUGUAUUUGGGUUACUUUUGACACUUCGUGUUCAAAGUCUCUAGUAAAAAUUCAUUUCAUUCAUUAAGGAAUUCUUAUUUUAAACUGAAAACCUGUCUUAAAUGAUAAAUUUUAUAUUAACAAAUAUAAGAAUUGGAAUAUUCUAUUACCUUCGAUAGUAUUUACAAGUAGUCAUUUUAUUUCAAUUUUAUGCUUGUCUAUACCUAUCCCAUUCCCUGCUUUUAGGAAAUGGGGGAAAAUGAAGAAAGCAGGAAGCCAUAGCAUGGUGGGGCUACUUAACAGGUUCCUCAUCUAAAUUAGCAUACGUUGUUUCUUGGUAAUAAAUCGGGCCGUUUGAUUCAUUGAACGUGUGAGACAGAGUCUGCAAAUGCAACCCAAUUCCAUCGAACUAUUGGCACCUUCUAGACCAUCUAGAUGCCUAGAAGGUGAUAUAUAGUUGUAAUAUUUUCAAGACGUGCAUUGUUUAUAUAUAAAUACUGAAGAUUGGAACGAUAUGGUGACACAUGCAAAAUUUGCCUAGCAUUACCAGAUCUUAUUUCCCGAAGCAAGUGGCCAGAAUCAUGCCUUUGUUUGCUGUUGUCGUUUUGCUGCACCACUGAGUGAAGUAGAAAAGGAAAGAAAGGAAAUAACAUAACAUCUCAGCUCCAACCAAAGGUUCUUCUGAUUGAGGUACAGUAAAACCGUAAAAAGUUGUCCAAUGCAUGCAGUACUAAAUUCCAAAGGGACCCAAGCCCAUUGCAGUUUUUAUGACAUGCGCUAACAUAACAACAACAAAUUAUCCUUGACAGUCCAGCUCAUGAAGAUACUGUGAUGUAACUCCAGUAGUUCACAUGCCCCCACACUGUAGUACGGACUUCACAGGUGGUGGUAGCAUUAUUCUAUUUCUAAAACAUCCAUCCUCUCACCUGCUCUUCAAUCUUACAAGGGGGACCUGCAAUGUUGAUGAAGAUGAGGACAGAGAUAUGUUCCCAAGUCAGUCAUCUCUUCCUUCAAAUUUCUUUCAUGUCAAAAAGUAGAAGGACUAAUACUAAUAAUUGAAAUGAAGUGAUGAAUGGAGUGAUUAAUUUAAUCAUAUGUUCCUUCUUUUUUAACUGUUUUAUCUUUCACUAUACAGAAAUUAUUUGUUAUUUGUGUCUGCCCUUCUCAUCUUUAGAUUCUCAUCCUUUUUAGCCGUUAGCAUUUUAGCAACAGCACCCUCCUUUUCUCAUCCCUUUUGUGCACUGACCCAGUGACCCACUCCCUAUGCAAGAGAGAGGGGAGGGACGGGGGAGGGGGUUGGGGUUGGCAGUGAUGCAUAUGAUAGGGUAAAAGGGAUUGGAUGAGGGGGAAUCUGUGCAGAGACCCAACUGUACAUAAGCACGUUCUCUCUUUGAUGCCCCAAAACUCUCCCAUCAGCCUUUUGCAGGCUCCCUUAUUAUUCAACAAACAUAUUGUUUUCUUUAUGAGACACAGAAAAUCAGAGGAAGGAGAUCAUGCUUUAAAUACACUCCCUCCCUCCUAUUAAAUAAUACUACUAGGUCUACUAGUAUUUAAUUAAUGUAUUUAAUGGUAGGGCUUUCAUUAAUUAACCUGAGGUUGCUUUUCAGCUGAUUUAGCUCGCAAGAUAGAGAUGAUUGCACCUAUCCAUCCUCAUCUCCAUAUAAAGCAAAAGAGAGAAAGUAAUGACAAAGUUGAGCUCAGUAACCAAAACAACCAAACUAUUAUAAGUCACGUCAUACAAUCCUGACCUCGCUGGCUGGCUUGCUGGCUUUCGUAAUGAAAUUAAUUAAGAAUACGAAUAAACUAGCAAAAUUGGCAAGAAUCUAGGGGUUAUUUGGACUUAGGGAAUACUACUAAAAUUACAACCACAUGCACUUCCCUCCACAUGAGAAAAGACACAAGUAGCCUUGCGAUGCUGCAUUGGGACACAGUAAACAGACACCGGCAGCGUGACUAUAAAAAGAAGUGUUGGUAGGUGCAUCCAUUUUCACGUUGUCACAAAGCCCAAACUCUAAUGGGAACAAAUGUGGUAUUAUAAUGGGGACUACUCGCUUAGGACUGGUCAACACAGCUCACCCAUAUCAUAUCAUAUCAGAUGCAUCAAAAUCCGAGUAUGGACGAAAAAGCCUAUAAAUAUAUAAAAAGAAAAAGAAAAGAUGAGCAAGAUGGCUCAUCAUGCCUGCAAUACUGCCUAGGUAGGGUUUUCAGGUUUUCACGCUUUUCUUCAUUUCUACACACUAUGGGGUGCAAUAAAUUGCUCCACUCUCCACCAUUGCAUGCCAUGCACCCUCUAUUGUCACAUUAGUUUUAUGUAUCAAAAAGCAAUAUAGUAUCAAACCUUAUAAGUUAUAUUAUAACCACUAAGAUUUUUUUUUAAUUUCUUUGUUGAUGAGAAUUAAUUAUUUAUAUGGAUAUGGACGAAGAAUAUUCUUGGAGCACUGUGUUAUAUGGGGGUGGAAUAGGUAUAGCAUGAUGUGCAACGGCUUGAAUGGGAAAGUGUCGAAUCAAUACAGAACCCCAAACCCCCAGGGCAUGCGCUCAUGUAAAAGAUAGAACACCACUUCCACAACUACAAUUGAAUUUUGUGAAAAAGCCAACACAAGUCUAUUGUUUACCCAAUUAAUAACAUCGAAUUAAUUAUGCCAACAACAAUUAUUUUUCUUUCAAUUUUGAAAGGAAAACAUCUAUACCUCACCCAUCGCUUUACUCAUUCCUAGUUGAACGUAAGAGGUCUUGGUAUUAUUUUGUUAUAAGGACAACAGAAGUUGUGAAGCGAAUUAUAUAGAGUUUAACAAAUAAAAGUUGCCUCCACCAUUAUAGACAGUGAUGCAGACAAGAUUCAUUUUACUUAUUUAUUUAUUUAGAGAAUUAAAAGUGAUCACGCUCUCUUCACAUGGGUUUUGGCUUUUAUGGUGGCUAAUAUAGCCUGAGAGUAUGACAACAUGUUAGCCACGUGAUUAUAGACCAUUCCUAACUACUAAAAAAUUUAAACAAGCAUCAUUAUUUUAUAUCUCCUUGGUUGGUGCACUUUUGGUUGCCGUUGCUGAAGAGUUGUUUGUUUGAUCGCAGCUUGGUACUAGUGGAGUACAAGAUGCGUGUGCAAAGGAUACAGAUGUAUAUAUAUGGAUCAUGAAGUUUGGGAUUCGGAAAUGGGAAUAAAUGGAUCAUGAACCGAGGCAACUAAACCGACAGAGGGUCCAAUCUAAUUAGGAGUUUAAUCCCCAAGAAUAUAAUUUGAAUAUGACCAAGACCCGUGAUAGUACCACGGAACUAGAACCAUUUACUAACAUCAUAAAGGAUGGAUGGAAAAGGCGAAGGGGUCCAAAGCCAUUCAACUUUUCAACAUAUCCCUUCCCUCAAUUAUGCACUUUGCUUAUACCAAAUAUCAAAUUGCUUCUAGCAAACAGGAAAUGGUCCUACCAUAUCUAAUUAACAACGGACCCCAUCACCUCCAUGACUCAUAUCGUUUCAUCCAUCAUCAAGUGAACAAAAAACUUCAUCCAACAACAAACAUAGAUCACCCAAUUUGAGGGUGUUCUGUUCCACCCCUCCAUCAAUAUCUCGGACGCACACAAAGGGCAAAUUUAAUAGUGAAAUCAUGUUAGAUUAUUCAUUCAAGCAUCAUAAUCCCUUCUGGGAAACUCAUUUCAUCUCCAUGAUCAAAGUACACACAUCUUGAUUAAAAGAAUUAAAAAGAUAGUGAGAACAACACUGCCCCCACCCUAUUGAAUCUUCCAUAAAGGUCACACACUCAGCUUCAGGUGUGGACCACCCCCAAACUAAUUCCACCUAAGAAAAAUAAAACACAAUAUCCGUACACCACACAUCAUAGAUUUAAAAAUAGACCAUAAUUGGUCACUUAGAUUUAAUUAAAACUUCACUGUAAUAAGGAUUGGGAUCAGACUGACGUGCAAAUAAUAAUUCAGCAGAGCUGGCGCCUCUGUUUGAAUUUUUGGCAUCAUUUCCCAAAACCCUUUACAACAUAGAAAAAAAUAACCACAAAACAAAAUCCACAAACAGACACGAGAUAAACUCAACAUGUUACCCCAACAGAUCUCCAAAUAUUUUAAUUAAUACUACUAAAAAAAUCACUUUUUACUUCCAACUAUCAAAUUCAGAAAAACAAAAUAACAGCGCCGUAAAAAACCAAAGAGCUCACUGUUUCAAACACAGUAACGGGAUCUUUUAUCAAUUAUCAUCAUGCUGAGAAAACAACAAAGGGCAUCUAAAAAUCCAUCGAACCCCACCUCGCGUAUUUACAUUAAUCAUCCUAAAACUUUAACAAAAUCAAAUUAAAUGAACCAACCAACCAAACCCCCAAAUCAACACCGUGCCUCUUCCUGCAAUAUUUCCAUUCCGGGAUUAGAUAAAAACAAAACAGAGAGAGAUAUGGGUUGAUCAAGUGGCAAAAAGGGUGAAAAAAAAACCAAAAAAAGCCUAGUCAAUAAUGUUACCCUUUUUUCUUCAUCUAAAGAAGGGUAUUUACGUCAAUUCCGAUUACUCCUACCACUUUGGUGAUGCCCCCUGCUGUUACUCCCCGUCGUUUCUUUCUUCUGCGGCGAAGAAAACAGUUGCCCGAACCCGAAAACAGAACCGGAUUUGGACGCGCCGCGGAGGGAGCAAACGGGGACGUUGAGAACGGGCGUGACUCUGACGUUAGCGGAAUAAGAACGUUCCAUGCCACGGUGCUUGAAGCGGGGCCCACCGUUGAAGGUGCUGGGAGAACUCGAGCUUCGUUCCAAGCUCUGGAACACGAUUUUGCCCGAAGAGUUCAUUCUAGGGCUGUCCACAGAAACGCCCCUACACCCCACCGUUUCCGGUUCUCUCCGGAUCGGACUCCUCCCAGGGCGGGAAGGCUGAUCCAAAACGGUUUUGUUGGAGUCAAAGGACCCAGCGCGCGGUUUGACUAAUCGGAUUCUAGGGUUAGGGUUUCUGUGGAUCGAGAUCUGGCUGAGGUUAGGGUUUACAUUUGAGGUCAUAUUGGUGUUAGGGUUUGAUUUUUCGGAAUCGAGCGAGAGGCGAGGGAGGUCGUCGUGGUCGUGGCUGGACGAGGAGGAUGAGAGAGAUAGACGAGAGGAGAUCGAUAGGGAUUCGGCGUCACAGGAGUUGGUAAGAAGUGGGGCGUUUUCGGAGCUGGUAGAAGACGACACCGUUUUGCGGUGUAGGAGGUUUUUUAGAGAUUUGGAAGUAGUGGAAGGGGAGGGUUUGGUAGGGGUGGUGGUGUGGUAGAGUUUUUUUAGGCCGAGGAGGUCUUUCCAGCGGGAGGAACAGCGUGGGGCUUUGGGGGAGAAGACAUAGGGGUCAGUAGCCGUAGUGGCGGCAGUGGAUGAAGGGGAUUUGGGAGUUUGAGGGGAGAUUGUUGCUGUUGCGGCGUUGGUUAGCGUUAGGGUUUGGAAGGUGGUGGUGGUGGUGGUUGUGAUGGUUGGGGUUUUGAGGUGAAGAGGGACAAGUUUUCCGUCGGAGAAAAGCUGGUCGGCGGGGAGCAUGGUGGCGGGGGAAUCGAGGGGGAACUCGAAGUCCGGUUCGGGUUCGGAUCCUCGAGGUGAGAGCCAGGGAGGGAGGUCGAGGAAGGUUGUUUCCGGCGAGAUUGCUAUGUUGUUGACGCAGGCAGAAGCCAUUUUGAGAGGAUCAUGCAACGGAGUUUUUGUUUUGUGAGAAGUUGCAGAAUGAAUGAAAGAAGAAGAGGUUAAGGUUAAGGUUAAGGUUAACAAUGGUGGGUGGCAGAAGAAGACGUAUAUAUAACAGUUCUCUCAGCCUACAUGGAAACUAGGGCCACGUGUCACCCUCUUUUUUCUCUCUCCCCUUUCACCACAAAAUUAAAAUAUUCACUUCAUCAUUAAUACUAAAGUUUCUCCUUUUAUAUUAUUACAAUCCAAUUCCACACACUUCUCUUUGUUUACAUAAAUGAACCUAUUUAUUUAUUAUUUAUUUGCAGAAAUUAUUUUGAGGUUGAAGCUUAUCUCAUGUUUUGUUUGAUGAGUCAAUUUUCAUUUCCAAACCUUGUCCCAUUGCUCUUAUCCUCUUAAGCCCAUUUCUUUUUAAAUAAAUAUAUUUCACACAUAUUAAUUUUUUAUAUUUAUUUAACAUUAUUUUUUUUACAUCUUAUUUUUUUCUUGAAAAAAUAUAAAAAUUUAUUUUUUUACUGUAUUUUAUCUUUAUACUGUAAAAUAUGUUAUUUUAUCAUUACUUUUCUUUUUUAUAUUUAAUCAAUUAAUACAAUAUCAUUUUCAAAGUUCUAUCUAAUAUAUUUUCUAUAAUUAAAAAAAUAUGUAUAAAUAAUAUUAAUAAUUUACAAUUAUCUUGAAGUCAUGUUAAUUUAAAAUUAAUUCAAAUAUUUAAAAUACUAAAGGUUUUAAUUAAUAUUUAAUUUCAACAUUUUAGUAUUAUUAAAAAUGUUACAGCAUUCAUAUUUAUGACCAAUCAGUAAUAAUAAUAAUUAUUAUUAUUUCAACAUUAUUGUAGCAUAACUAUAACAAAGUAAUGAACAAUGAUAUUUAGGGUGAAUAUAAAUUAUUUUACUUAACACCUGUUAUUAUUAUGGUAUGUUAAAAAUAAUAAUUUAAUUAUUAUUAAAUAAAAAAUGUGUGAUUGACUAUUAUUAUUAAUUUAACUUUAUUUUGUUAAUAAAAUUAUAAGUCUAGUAUUAAUUAAAAAAUAGUAUUUAAAAAUAUUCAAUGUAUAUUAAAGUUAUAAAUAAUAUUAUAAAUAUAUGGAUAAAUAUGGUAUAACAUUAUAAAUAUAUUGUUAUUAUUAAAUGUAAUUUAUUAUUGAUAAUAAUGUAGAUAUAAUAUUUAUUACAUAAAAUAAAUAUAUUAUCAAAGUUACAUUAAUAAUAUUAAUUACAUAUAUUUUAAUAGUGUAAGAAUUUAGAAAAUAGAGUAUUAUAAUAUAUAAGUGUAUUAAAAUUAUGAAAUCGAAUAUUUUAUUUUAAAAUAAUAUUAUAAUAUGAAUAGAAUUUUCUAAAGCUCGAUUCAUUAUCUAAAAUAUAUGUAUUUCUCUAAUACAUUAUCCUCUUUGUUUUCUCUCACUUCUCUCCAAUCUUUUUCACUCUUGGAUCAUUUGUUCGACAAUAAAGAAGUUUCUAGGUGAUCCUGGCGUUGAGGGUUACAAUUCCUAUCGAUCAAUUUCUUGAUUUGAGUCGAAAAGUUCAUUUCUCUUUUUCUUGGUGAUUCUUGACUCUUGAUCAUGCAAUGGAUUCUGUUUGCAUGUAUCAACUAGUCUUCCUCUUUGAUUCUUUACUCCAUCUAGGUCCUAAGAUUGGUUUGCUAUCAAUAAUCAGUGAGUUAUAGGCUUUCUUAGAGUUUCCUUGCGAUGCAAGCAUCGAUCAGGGUUUUUGUAGAGUUAUCCAAAUUUCUCUGAGGUAAGGGAAGCUAGAGUUGCUUUGAUUUAGAAUUUGUUGUGUAUGUAUGAUGAGUAUGUGAGUAAUGAGCUGGUUGAACUAAAUUUCUGUUUUUAAGAUAUAGGUGAUGUGUAAUUUAAAUGUUGUAGUGUGCCAAUUGAUGAACUGUAAAAUUAAACUUGAUUGGAUGUUGUUUGAUCUGUUAUACGUGGUAUGAAAUGUUAGGAAGUUGUAAUUAUGUUGAUUUUGUUAUAAAUAAAUCCAUAUGGUUAUGGUUAUAAUAAGUUUUAGGAAGUGGAAAAGUGAAAACGAGAAUUUAGGGUUUAGUGUGCAAUUGGUCCGUGGGGAUGGUUUUGGUAAGUCUAAAUUGGACUGGGUUGAGCUCAUAAGUUGCUCAAAAAUGUGUCAAAAGUAGUAGAAUUUGAUUUAGGUCCAUAAGUUGAUGAAUUUGAUGUUUUGAAGUAGAAAUUUCUUAGGAAACACUUUAGAAUGAGGUUAGAAAGGUUUAGACACACUUAGUCAAGUAUAAUUAGGUAUAUAACACAAUAUAGGAGGGUUAGAAGUUGGGAAAAAUAAUUGGAAUAGGUAAAUUUAUGUAAUUUACGUAAUUCUGCAGAUUUUGUGUUGCAUAUUAUGCAGACUCAUUGAGCGAGUAGAGUCACUCAACGAGUGGUUGUAGAGGUUGACUCACUGUCUGAGGAUUCGCACAACGAGGAGGUGCGUUGAGUGAGUGGUUGAGGUCUGAGAGCACUGUCAAUUUAAUUUGAUCAGCGAAUGAGUAUGCUCAGUGAGUGAGUUAGGGGUCUGGACCUCUAUCUGGACCUUCGUAUAGCGAGUUGGGGACGCUAAGCGAGGGGUUGAGGUCUGGUACCACUAGUAUUUGAAUUCGCUUAGUGAGAUUCGCUUAGCGAGUUGGGUCGCUAAGCGAUUAGUUUGGAGGUUGGGGCACUAUUAGUGGAUUUGCACAGCGAGCUGGGUGGCUGUGCGAGUAAAGUUUGUGGUCGCUCAACAAGUGUAUGCAUUGAGCGACUGUCCCAAAUCAUCAUGUAUUCUCUUCUUAUUUGUUCUUUAAUUGGUUGGAGUGAUGAAAUUGAUUUGUUUGUGGAUGAUGUAUGACUAUGUACGAGUAUUAUAAAAGUAUCAAAGUAAUGUUUAUUGUUCCAAAUGGCGUGGAAGAGAAUUCCAAGGAGGAAUUUAUCAAUGAUGUUUGUUAAAGUUUGUAAGUAUGAAUAUGGGAAGCUCAGUCUUAGAGCUCAUCCUGACAUUCUAAUGGUCACUUAUUCUCAAUUACAGAGGAGUGAGGCAAGUUGUGAGAAUAGAAUGAGGUCCUAGCCUAGGGGCAUUUCCUUGGCCUAAGGUGAGUGAUAACGGACUAACUUUGUGUGGUAGCUUGGGAUGGGUCAACUGUUUUACCACAACAAGUGCACAAACUGUCAUAACUACAUAUUCAUACUAAUCCGGAUGGUUAAGUCAAAGGUUGGUUAAAUACAAAGUUAACUUGGUGUGAUAUAUUGUGUUUAUCUUAUUUGAACGUUUAAUUGUAUUCAUAUAUCAUUGAGUAUUUUCUUCAAGCUUACCCUUCUAUCUAUGUUUGCGUUGUAUGUUUUUCUUGUUUUCUCUCUUUGUUAUGAUCAUCAUGUGGGUGUGAGGAGAAGAGGACGAGGUGUCCCAAGAGCAUGCUCUUGAUGAAGAUGGUGCUGCGGAGUAGCUAUUUUUAAAAUUAUAUUGUGUAAAAGAAAAUAGUUUUGAUAUAGAACGUUUGUAUAUAAUAUUUAAAUUUUAUAGUUAUUUUAGUAAUAAAACUUUACUUUAUACUUUAAUCUCUAAUUGUUUUAUCAUAUCUUAUUACGGUGACUCUUUGUAUAGUAUUAUAUUAUAUUUUUAAAUGUUACAAAUGAAAUUUUUUAAUAAGUUAUAAUGGCUGUCUAAUUUUAAGCCUAAUUAUCUAUCUAUAUAUAUUAUUUUGUCGAUAUCUAGAAUCGUGGAUUGAUGAUUUUGGACAUUCCAGUAGCAUUGGAAAUAUACGAUCCAGGCCUUUACAUCCUACAAUAUAUUAUUUUAAUGACGAAAAAAUGGAGAAAAUUAAUUUUCUAGUUAGAUUACAAAAUUUCAAUAGGGACAAAGUUGUUUUUUAUAUAUUAGUGUUUUAUGUACGAUACUUGUUAAUUAAGGCGAAACCUUCAUUUUAAUAUGAUUGGUUUAGGUUUUUAAAAGGAGAUUGUAACUUUGUUUACCCUUUGAAAAAAUUAAUAUGUGGAUAUGAAAAUUUUAAAAUCAUUUUUUUUUCCUCUUUCUUCCCUCUCUUUUCUUAUUAUGUUUUCUCAUUCAUCUUUCCAAGAAUAAGGAUUGUGAUUCACACAAGUAGUUUAAUCCCUAUAUGUGAUUUUCAAUAAUUAAUUAAUGAUUAACUCAUCUCUACCAAAAGACUUAAGAUUUAAUAUUUCCUCGACUAAUUAUUGAAUCAAAUAUGACAGCUAAAAAUUAAUUUGAUUUAUUUAAUUAUUUUAUUUUGUUUAUUUUUUUUAAAUAUUAGAUAUAUUUUUAUUUUAUAAUUAUAUUUUAUUUUUAGUUAAUUUGUUAUUAUUUUUUAUUUAAAUUUUAAAUUUAUUUUAUAUUUUUUCUAUCAUAAAUAAAAAUCCUAUGAAUAUAUUAUUUUUACUGUAUUCAAUAAUAAUAAAAAACACAAAACAACCUUCUCGGCUUAGAAAUUCUAAAUUUACAAUUGAAUAAUAUAUUAUUUGAAUAAUAUAUUAUUUAAGAGAUAACUUUAGAUUAAUUCAAUUAUUCAUAUACUUUGAAUAAAAUUAUAUAUUAUUUAAUUGAAUACAAUCUCAAUUAAAUUUAAAGUCAUUGUUAUAUAAUUUUAUUCAAAUUCUAUCUUAUUUUAAUUUAUUAUUUUAUUUUUUCUCUCUUAACUUUUAUGCAUUAUAUAUUUAAGGUGCAUGAAAUACUUUCCACCAUUUGAUAAAUAGUCAAUAAUUUAUGUUCUAUGAUAAUUUGUAAUUAAUUAAUAAUAACUUCUUCUUUUUAUUUUCAAUGUACAUUUUAUUUUCUCCUAUCUUCAGUUUGAUAGAGAUUGGAAAUGUGGUGGCCCUUAAUCAUUUGCAUCAUAUAAUGUAAAUAGUGGUAGCACAUUGGGAUGAUUAGUAGAUUAGGAAAAUAAUGAUAUUAUGCAAAUAUAACAAGUGAUAUAUUCAUUGGAAACUAAGAAUUUGUAAAUAAAAGGUAUAUUGAAUUGUUACAAUUUGAGGUGAUGUUUGUCUGCUUUCAUGUUAUUUUCUUUUAUGUGUUCUUGAUUUUGUUUCCAUGUAUGAUUUUUAUCUACGUUUCUAUAAUGUCUAGUUUAUAUUAGUUUUGACUAUUACUAGUAAUGAUUUUGAAAAAUUCACCAUAGAAAUUGAUUGUUGUGUCAAUUAUUUUGUGGUAAUUUUUAUUUGUAUGUUUUUGUUUGUGGAGCUUUACAUUGCAUAUACUAGUCAUGAAUUAUGGUUUUUCAAAAAUUUGGUGUCAAGUAUUUUAUCCCAUUUUUCUACCUUUCACACAUUUAUUUCACUUUCUAAUACUGUUUAAAAAAUUCUAAAUUUUUAGGAUAAUGAUAUUUUGACAACACUUUUUGACAACUUUUUUUAUAACGGGACACGUGUCAUUAUUUUAUUGGUCUAUUUGAAUUUAUGUUUAAAAAAUAUUUAAAACGGAUCAAUCACAAGCUGCCAUGUAUGUGUUAUAAAAAAAUUGUUAAAAAAGUGUUGUUAAAAGAAGUUUUUUCAAAUUUUUAUUGAUGUUUUCUAAUUAUAAAUGGAGAUUUUUCAAUCUUUUACAUUCUUCUUUUCUGGUGAUUAUAUAUAUAACAUUCAUUCAUAUAGUGUUUUAGUCAUAUCUACUAUUUUAUUCAUUUAUUUGAAAAACCUUUGGAUGAAAAUUGUGUUUAUUAUGUAGAGAAUUUCUCACUCUAAUAGGAAAAUUUAUUUUGAAUAUUUUAAAAGAAAAAUACUUUUUAUAACAAUUAAAGUUAUAACCUUUGUAAAAAGUAGCACAUUUUAUGAUAGGUCUUUUGAUAUGUCAUAAAAAGUUCAGAGUUUCUAUAUCGCCUGUAUAUCGUCAUUAAAAGUUUAUUUUAACCAUCAUAGAAAGUAUUUACUAUAUUAGUGUAGAUUUUGAAUAUUGAUGAUAAACAAAAUCGUUUUUGUGUCCUCAUCUUUCAAUAGUUUGGCUAGUUCAAAUUUGAAAAGUUUUCUCAAAUCUCACAAGAUACUUUCUUUCUUAUCGUAUCCUUAUUUAUAUAUUAUUUACUUUGUGCAAUUUCCUUUCAGUGAUGUAACAAAUCGUUUAUAGGACAUAUUUUUUUUUUAUCAUUUUUACUUCUUUUUAAUAUUUCAAUUUAUUAUUAUUUUAUCAUGUAAAAUAUUGUUUUAAUAAUUUUUAAUAUAAUUAUAUUUAUUUUCCAACUCAUUCUCAUAAAUGUAAUUUUAUCACGACAGUUGUAUAAAGAUAUUUCAUUUACUAUAGUAUAAUAAUUUAAUGUCAUUUUUGAUUAAGUUUAAAGUUUAAAAUAUGAAAGAACUAUGUCUAAUUUUGAAUUAUUAUUAGUUUAGUAUUUCUUUCAUGUGUAAUUUCUUUUUAAGUAGUGUAUUAUAAUCAUUAUUAAUGUAUAAAAGUGAUAUUUCAUUAUAAUUUAGAGAAAGAAAGUAAAGAGACUUGAAAUGUUUUUAAACUAAUAUUUUUUUUUUACUUUUAAAAAAUAUUUUGUAAUCUUAUUGAUUUUUUUAUUAACAUUUUCAAAAUUAAUGAUGUUUUGGUUGUCAUGAAAUUUUAUUUCUGUAAUUGUGUAAUAUUUUAUAUAAUUCUUUCACUUUUAUCCAAUUUUUAUUUGGUACUUUGAUUUAAAAUUUAUACCAUUGUCAUUUUUUAUAAAUAUUUGACACUAAAUAUGUUCUUUUUGAUAUUGAAUUUUUUUAUAAUAUAAUUUUUCCUUUUAAGUGAUUUUUAAUUUUCUAAAUUAAUUAAUUAAUUGAUAGCAAGAAAACAAAUAUGAAUAUAUCCAUUAUCUCGUGAUGAUUGGAAUGAGACAAAAAAAAAUUAAAUCAUUUAAGUAUAAGAAUGAAGAUAUGUAUUCAAUUUUACUUUUAGGAUAAACAUAGAAUAAUGAAACAUGUCCCCUCCACCCAAUUGGCAUCCUUAAUUUUGAGAUCACUUAACUAGUUAAAAAAAAAUAAAGAUGCGUUGGUAUGAUAAAUACUAAUACUAAAAAUUUUAGUGGUUUAAGAUGCAUAUAGUAAUAACAUGUUUUAUCUCUUCUUUUGUUCUUAUUUUUCUCUUCUUCUUCUAAGAUUGUUUUUCUUCUUGUUUUGGUGUUAUCGUUCUAUUUGGAUGAUCAUUUCUUCAUUAGCUUUAACUUAAGCUAGCACUCAGGUGAAUAUUGCAGAUGCAGUUAAAAAAGCUUAGAGAUGAUGAGAUACAUACUGUGAGAAUAUUUUAGGGAAUUUUUGUUAAAAGUAUAUUGUAUCAGAAAUAUUAUGUUGUGUAAAAUUUAAAUUUUAAACUUAUUUUAAGAAGUGAAAACUAUGAUAUUUAAAGUUUGGAACCGCAUUUUUUGUUAAAUCAAAAUAAAGUUUUGAUUAUGGAAGUUAAUUAUAAAAUUUAAAUUUUGUUUUAGCAUUCCUAAUACUCUUUAAAUUAUUUGGGUGUUACAUUGUGACAUUAGAGUUAUGAUUUUCGAAGAUCUUUGAGUGCUAGUAUCCUCACUCAUCUCGGAUUGGUGAGCUUUUUGCAUUUCUAAGGUCUUGUUCACUUGAGUGGAUUUGAAAGAGAGUAAUUGAGAGAAUUUAAGAGGAUUUGAAGAUAAUUUUUGUUGUUGUUUAUUUGAAUAGAUUUGGAGAUAAGUGAGAGUAGAUUUGGAAGUAAAAUUUGUAAGAAUUAGUGUAAGAUUUAAUUUACAUGACAGUUUAAAAAAAUUUACUUCCAAAUUCACUCUCACUUACUUUCAAAUCUAUUCAAAUAAACAACAACAAAAAUUUAUCAUCAAAUUCUCUCAAUUACUCUCCCUUAAAUCUACUCAAGUAAACAAGGCCUAAAUGAUGUGCCAUCUAUAAUCUCCCCUCCUCAUUUUCAUGUCUCAUCAUUUGUUUCACCUUUGCUAGCUUUAUGAUUCUUAUGCUCUUUAUAUUCAAUCAUUCCUAUGUUUUUACUUAAGUGAACUUCUUUUGUUCCUUAGAAUUCCUUGAAGGACAUCUUCACAUCUAAUUAACUUCAUUAUCUUAAUGUUUAAUGAGUAUCUUUGUCAAAUUUUUUUAAUAACUAUAUAAUACCAUAUAAUGUUAAACUUUAAAAUAAUUUUUUUUAUUAGUUUCAUUUUUUAGGAUUUGUUUUUAUUAGAUUUUUAUUUUAUUAGUUUUAUUUUUUAAGAUUUUUUUUUAUUAGUUUCAUUGAUAUUUAAAUUUUUGUUUUUCUAUAAACAUUUAAAGUUGAGAAAUUGUUAAAUUAGCUGUCUUAUCUUAAUUUGGUUAUCCUGAUGUUCCACUUAAUAGUUUUGUGUUAACUUAGUUAAUAUUUUAAAUAAAUUACAACCAAACUUGCUUCAUAAAAAUAAUUUAAAAAAUGAAAUUAAUAUCAUACAAAUUAAAUUAAUAUAAAUGUAGAUAUAUUAAGAUUAUGUAUUGUUUCGUCCACUUCUACACUCCACUCUUAUCAUUAACCUUUCUGUUAUGCUUUGUAUCUUGAAUGCCUUAGCUUCUCUGAACUAUUUAUCAUUGACUGGUGGAUGACCUGAAAAAAUAACUGCAAAAAAUACUCUAAGUUAGAUAUGUUUCUCAAUUGAAAAAAGCAAUCUAAGUCCAUUAACUAUCCAUAAACAAGGUAUAUUUUUAGACAAUAAAAUUCGUUAAUUACUCAUUAAUUAAUGUCAUAUUUAUACUUGAUAUGGUUAAUUAAGUCUAUUAAUUAACCUUUAAUGUCUCUGCUUACAGAUGUUGCUCGGCCAAUCGAUCAUCUUAACCAAUUGAUGCUUGCUAUCAAAUGUCUCUCUGAUCUGACCAGUACACUAGUACACUAUAUAUUGUACAUGUAUAAAUUUAUAUACAUGUAUAAAUUUAUAUAUAUAUAUAUAUAUAUAUAUAUAUAUAUAUAUAUAUAUAUAUAUAUAUAUUUAAAUAAUAUUACUAUUUUAUAGAAUAUAUCUAAGUUAAUUUUUGCCACCCACAAAAAUUUAAUUUAAUUUAAACAGCCUUUUUCGUCAUAACCUAAUUCGAUUGAUAGGUUUUUGAAAUAUUUUUCGGAUUGAAUUUAUUUUGACAAUUUUAGUCACUUUUCAAAGUCAAAAGUCUAUUUAAAUUGUAAAAGUGUAAUAGGCUUUCAAAUAAUUUUAAAAUUUUGUAACAUAAAUAUAAAAUCAUAUUUACUGAGAAUUUUUUAUUUAAUUAACAAUUGGAUUAGUAAAAGCUAAUAUAUACAGUAAAAAGUCAAGUCUCAUUUUUAAAUUCGGAGGAAUUGAUAUGAGCAAAUUUAGUACCACUAGUGUAAAAACGAUGUUUAAUGUCACCCAAAGACGUCAACUAGAGGGCAAUCCGAUGUAUAUUAAUGGACGGUGGCAUUACCGUAAAUAAGUUGGUCAUCAAAGACAUUGGUUUCUAGGGAUGAUAUAGUAGACGUCUGCUCUGCCCUAAACCGACGUCCAAUGGCCUGAGGUAGGCGAGAAGACAGGCUUUUCUGCCCCAUUGACGUCGGUUGUUCAGGGGGGCCGACGUCUACUUGCCUACAAUUAAUGCUCUUCACCUGAUUCCCAAGCGCUUAGAUGUCAUGUAGUAAAAAAUCGAUGUCUAUGGCCUGUCUGGAAGGUGGGAAGACAUCAAUUUCUGCAAUAUAGACGUCGGAUUUCUCGGUGGGGACGUCUAUGUGCCUGUAAUUAAUGAUGUUUACCAAACUCGCAGGCACUUCGACAUCCGAUAACAGAGCCCCGACGUCAUAUUGUUAUAGACGUCGGCGCCCUGGACAACUGUCAUCUACUUCCCUGACAGGAAAUGAAAUGUCAAUCGGUUCAGCGCAAUAGACGUCGGCUCCCCUAGUGUCCGACAUCUAAUGUGCAUUCAAAAAGUCAGAUUAAAAGUUAUCUUUGACAUCAUAUUAGUUAGAUAAUCGACGUCUAUGUGACUAUAGACGUCAGUUUCUGUUGCAACCGACGCCCCAUUUCAUGUUAAAUAAACCGCAAACUCUUCGCGACAUUGCAGUUUCUGAUAUCAUCGUCUUCCUCCUCUCCUUUUUCUCUCUUGCGGCUCCUCUCCUUUUUCUCUCUUGCGGCAUUGCAUUAUUNUUUNUNAUAACAUCAUCGUCUUCCUCCUCUCCUUUUUCUCUCUUGCGGCAUUGCAUCCCAGGUGCGUGUUUUUUUAUGGUUACCGUUUAAUCUUUGUUCAGUCUUUCAUCGAUUAUCUUCUGGUUCAACUGAUUAAAAUUUGUUUUCUUUGUGUUGUGUUUUAGUGUAGUUUUGUUCCUUUCUUGGGGUAACGUAGUACCACAUUCUUCCUUUGCUAGUUGCCUCCCAGAAAAAGCGGCAUCUUUUGGAUUUCUGGUGGCGUUUCAACCCAAAAACAACCCUGGGUCGUUGUCUAGUUAUCGUUUUACCGUAAUUUUUCCCUCUUGCAGUUGAAAAGGGAAUUAAGCAAGAACCCAGGUUCAGUUUUGGGUUGAAAUGUCAUGAGAAAUUCAAAAGACACAAGCUUUUUUUCGGGGGAAACUAGUAAAGGCAGAGUGUGCUACUAGGCUAUCCAAAGACAAGAACAAAACUGCACUAAAACACAACGACUGUAUUAGACGUCGGUUAAUGCAAAGACCGACGUCUAUAGUGACCUUAGACGUCGGUUAGUGACAUGUUCGAAGUCUUUAUGUGCUUUUAGACGUCGGUUAAUGCGUAGUCCAACGUCUAUAUUGUCCCUUUAGAUGUCGGGUUAGGCCUAUACCGACGUCUAGUGACGUCGGACAUGGCACUAACUGACGUCAUUAUAAACGUCUGUUAUAUGGAUAUCCGACGUCCCAUUGACGUCAUCGGUAAUGAGUUCGGUUGGUUAAUAGACGUUAAAAGCCCAAAAUAACAAACGUCUAAAACCCUUUCUACACUAGUGUACGUUCUCUUCCAAGGAUUUGAGUAUAAAAAAGAUGAUAGAUUUGUUGAAUUUGCUUCAUCUUUCAUCUGCUUAGGAGAAGUAUGUAUUUACAUUGAUAUCCCUAUGUAAAACCUUUCUCUUUUUCAAUUGUUUUUGUUGAGUGGGUAUAUAUAAGAGAAAAGUGAUUUAAAAAAUAACCUUCAUUUCCUUAGUUUUUUAUUAAGAAAACGAAAAAGUAGUUUAAUCUUGUUUUCUACAUAUCUUUAUCUUUACAAUUUAAAUCCUCAAAAGGUAGACUUAAUUAAGUCAAUCCUAUAAAAUCGAUUUAAAAAAAAUGAAAUUUAGACUCACUUAUAUAUUAUAAAUUGGUUUUAUCUCUAGUCGAGGUGAGACUUGCAACAACUCACUCUAAUAAUGUUAUUUUAAUAACUUAGAAUCAAAAUAGGAAUAAUUUUUUACAAAGCAACGUUAAGAGAAUCUUAUGCAUUAAAAUAAGCAGCAUCACAUGUUUUUGACAAGAAGAAGAUUUAAAAAGAAAGAUUGUGUUAGUAUGGUUGAGAAAUGGUUUAGACAGGUAAAUAUGAGCGACUAUACAUGUUUUGUUUGAAAGGUUGUUGAUGGUACUAUGCAUUUGUCUUCAUUUGUCAGUUAGAAACACUUUUAACACAUCUUUGUUUUUUAUCAUUCACAACGCAUAUGAUUCAGUUCUGAUUAUCGGAAUGAGGAAAAUAACAUAAGAUAGUGAAUGUCAGUGUCGUGUCUCAUGUCUCUUUGGUUGUAGCCAUGGCAGAACACCUAAUGGAUUUUCCUCUCUUCUAUCUUCAUGCUCAUCUUAUUCUCACCAACUUCACACAAUAAUCAAAAAAUUGCUGCAUCCUGCUUCUUUCUUCUACAACCAGUUUUUCGGUUUUUCAAACAUGUCUCAUGUUGCUUGUUUAACAUUUUUUAGUAUAUAUAUAUAUACACACACUUCUAUAUAAAUAAAAUAAUGACUUAAUUAAGUUUAAAGUCAUUCAUAAAUUUAUAUAUUUUUAGUUAUAUUUUUAUUAAAAAAAUUUAGUGUAUUAAAUCUUCAAAAUUUUUAUACUUUCAAUUCAAUUUAUCUUUUCCUUGUUUUAUUUCUUUUUUUUUUCUGUAAAUACUAAAAACUGUGAAGUUUUGUGAUUAAUAUAAAAUAAUAUUAAAUAAGAUAACAAUCAAGCUAAUUAAUUAAAAAAAAUAAAUGAUAUAUACUCAAUUAAAAAGUACAAAAAAUUUAAAUAUUCAAUUAACAGAAAAAUUCAAUAAAAACUCAAUUAAAAAAACCAAAAUUUAUAAGUAAUUUUAAACUUAGUUAAAUAAUACUUUUAUUACUAUUUAAAAUUUAAAUUCUCUAACUUUUUUAUUACAUUUUUUUAUAAUCUUUGGAUAUUUCUUUAUCCUCUUAUAUGAAAACAUGAUAUAUUAAACCAUUGAGAUAAAUCAUGACUUAGCAAAACAAAAUUUUGAUUAGGGUUAAGUUUUAUGUUCCUUGUAGAUUUCAAAUAUUGUUUUCUCUUUCAGUUGAUUCGUGUGGUUUAAAAAUUCCCAAUAUAUAUCAGUUGAAAAAUAAUAAACUUGUAUUUCUCUAAAACUAUAACAUUAUUCUUAUUUAUUAUAUUUUGUUUCCUAAAAUCAACUUAGAGAAUAUAUAAACAUCUUCAACUCAUUCUCUUUUCAAAAACUAUAAUUCCUUGAAAAGUGAGGCAUUUUACAAGAAAAACUAACUUUGGUCAAAAUUUUCAUAUUUAAAAUAUUAUGAAACAAGGGAUGAUUUUAGAUUGUAGAAAUGAGAUGAGUGUUGAGAAAUGAAUUUUAAAUCCAAGAAAUAACAAAUAUUUCUGGUAGAGCUAUCAAAACGGGUAACCUGACUUGACCCGGCCGGCCCACCACAGGUUGGUCACUUAUUGAGCCAACUUGACCAACCUAACCCAGCUCAUUUAUUAGCGAGUCAGAAAAAUUCGAACCCGGCUCGACCCAUCAAGGGUUGGUAGGUAAAUGGGUUGGCUCACUUAAAUACAAUUUUUUUUAAAUAAAAAAAAUUAUAAACUUUUUAUAAUUUAAAUAUAAACAAAUUUCACUUCUAAAUUUCACUCCCAACGGGUGUUUAAUUAAUUUUGAAAAUAGAGAACUUAAAUAAUUAUUUCAAGCAAAAAAUAAUAAUAAAUAUUUUUUUAUAAAAUUAAAAUUAAAUUUUAAUAAAAGAAAAUUAGGUAGGUGAGUUGGUGGGCUAAUCCGACUCACCACGGGUUCAACCCGCAUGAACUAGGUUUAAAUGAGCCGGGUUGAAACCUGACCCGCAUAAAAAAAAUAAAAAGCGAACUGUGACCUAUUUUGACAGCUCUAAUUUCUGGGAUAAACUCUAACCAUAGCUCUGAUACUAUAUGAAGAAGUAAACUUUAAAGUCUAAAUCUCAUAAAACCAACGUGUAAAGUGAGGUUCACAUCUCUUUAUAUAUUAUAAAUUGGUCUUAUCUCUAGUCGACAUGAGACUUCCUACACUAAAGAUAAUGUAUUAUUCAAUGAAUGAAAAUUCACUCAAUAGAUUACAUAAUAGAGAAAUUUUGGUUUAACAAAUUUUAAUUUUGUUGAGCAAAUUUCAAAUAAACACUUAAUUUUAGCUAUUUAAUCUUAGAAUUUAAUGAGUUGUGUUGCAUAAAGUUUUGUAUUUAUAAAUAUUAUAUAUGAUAUACUUUAACAUAAUUAACACCUGGAGACAUUAAAUCAUAAAGCACCACCCUCCAAAAAUAGAAAACAGUUUUUUAUUUUUGUGAGGAAGUGACAAUUCAGAGAGCAUAAAUUAAAGACUUAAGAAAGUUGUGAUGAAAAUGAAGAUGAUCACACACAACACAAUUCAUUGCAUAACAUAUGAUGGUGAUUUUGUGAGACAAGAAGUGAAAAUAAUGAUGAAAAAGUGAACCCGACAAAGGAAACAGUAAUAAUGAAAAAUAGUGAUGCCUUUUAAUCAACUUUUACAAGACAAUAUUCCGACAUAUAUGGAUAACUAAAGCUCCUUUUCUUUUAUUUUUUUUAUUUCAUUAUCUUCUCACAUUUUUUCAGUUUAUAAUUCUUCAAUUGUUUGUUUUAAUAAGAAGCUAUUUCUACAACUUUUCUGUUUGAUGGUUUUGGAAAAUUUUCAUUCGAUUUUUAUUAUAUGUAAAAAAUUUCUAAGUAAUAAGUUGAAUUGACUCUCUCAUUCGGUUAAUUGAAAUAAAAAAAAUUACAAUUAAGCUAAUAUAUAUAUAUAUAUAUAUAUAUAUAUAUAUAUAUAUAUAUAUAUAUAUUUAUGAGAGAAUAAGUUUUAGUAUGUAAACCUAAUCGACUUAUUAUGGAGUCGAGUGAUGUUGAGUUAGAAACAAUUAAUUUUUUUUUUAAAAUUUAAACUAAAAUAACAAUUCAAUUGUUUUUUAAGAGUAAGUCAUUUUUUAACGUGACUCAAUAUCAAUUUAUUCUUUUAACAACCCAUUAACUAUAGUAAAAUAAUAAUAUAAUGUACCGAUUAUAUACUAUUAUGUUCAAGCAUUUUUAUUGAAUUCUAUAUUUAGUCAAUAAUUAUGCGAUUAUUUUAAUUUUAUGUAAAACAUAUAAAUGAAAAGAGUUUGGGAUUUUGAUUUUUAAUUGAGUAGACCGAAUAAUAUUUUAACAAAAAUAAACGAAGGAUUUAUUAUGUUGUUUAGUAUUGGAUUGUGCUAUUCUCUUGUUUAAUCUUUUCAAUGUAAGAGAUAGGUUGAACUUUCUUCUCAACUAUAAAUAAGACUAAAGCUAAAUGAUAACAUGUAGGUGAGUACAAAUUCACUUUAUUAAAUUAGUUUUGUAAAAUUAAUUUAGAUUUAAAAUUUCAUUUUUUGAAUAUGAUAUUAAAAUAAUUAAGAAUUUAUUUUUUAUUUUUGUUAGAACUAUUGUGUCAUAUCUUUUGUGACACUUCUUAUUUUUGAGUUUUAUAUUAUUAAUACGAAUUAUGAACGAGAAAAUAUCACUAGGGUAAUAAGGGAAAUAACAAUGGUUAUUUUCGUCCAUAGACAACUGUUCCUAAACCGAGACAUAUAGAGGUGAGGCAAAAAGUCCAGCCUUUUUUGUUUUGAUUCACAAUCGAGACAUAAAAGGGUGAGAUUUUGUCUCGGUUCAAAGGUAAUUAAAGCAAUAAGGUUUUUGCUUUUUUUAUUUUUUAUUUCGAAUGGCUUUACGCCUCGGUUCCUUAUGAAUCGAGGCAAUAUGUCGACCUCUACUACCUCAGUUGGGAUUUGAACCGAGUCAAUAGGAUGUUUUUUAUUUUUAUUUUUUGUUUUUUCGUCAGACUUUCUGCCUCGGUUGUGGCCUGAACCGAUGCCGUAAAGGGUUUUCUGUCUUGGUUAUGGUCACAACUGAGACACAUUUUUUUUUAAGAACAUGUCUGUUUUUGCAACAUUCCUAACUACAGAAAUAGACUUGCAUAUAUUUUACCGCUAGAACAGUCCAAAAGCAUAUAUUUUCAACAAAAAUGAUAUUAAAACAUAAUGCAUUCAAUUUAAUCAUAAAUCAAUUUCUUAGAAACAUAAAUCAAUUCAAUGUAAUCAUAAAUAAACUUUAAAGCAUAAAUCAAUUUAAUGUACAAAAUUAAAGUAAUAAUAAUAUAUAAAAGCAUAAAUCAACUUAGAAGGAUGAAAUUCUAUAUAUUAUUUGUAAAUAUGAUUAAAUUAUAAUAUAUAUAAUUAUAAAUUUCACUUCAUAAAUUUAAUUUUUUAAAAUUGAAUCAGACAUAUGUUUACUUUUAUUACAAUAAUAUAUAUAUCUAUAUAAAAGCUUACUAUAGCAACUUAUAUGAUGGAAGAAAAGUUGAAUAUGGUUGUUUUUGAGAUAUUUAAAAUCCCAAUGGAAAAUAGAGAGCUUGAUGGAUGAUUAGAGAGUGGAGAACAGAAGAACGUGACAAGUCUUGAAAGUGGUAAGCAAUUCGUUAAUUGAAUGACUUUAAAAUGCGUUGUUUUGGAGCAUUUCUGACUUUGCAUUAUUUUGUCUUCUGUUGUAAUUGUUGGACUUAUUGUAAAUGUUUAGGAUAAUGAAGAAAAAGAUGUUUCCAGACUCAUAAUAAGUGGUAGAGAAAAAACAUACAACAAUAUUAAAUUUUAUUUUUCUUUAAUUAAGUUUAGGAAAACAAAUCUUUAUCUUUUUCUGCGUAUAAAUGUUUGAGAUCAUAUUUAGUGUCUUAAAAAACUGAAAGUUUUUUAUUGUUAAAAUAAACUAUAUUAAUACAUCUGAAUGAGAAAAUAACCAAAAUUUAUAUUUAUUUUUAUUUGACAUAAAAUAUGCAUUCACUUUGUGAAUGGUUAUGUUGAAAAACUUAAUUACCUAUUUCUAAUAUAGUUUAAAGCGAAUAUGUGAGUUAGGUUGAAUUUUGAAAAAUCCAUCAUCCAAUUCAAUAAAAAAUCUUAGAUUGUGUUGAGACAAAUUUACUUUCCUUUAAACCUGAUCCUAAUAUAACCCAACCUUAAUCAAAUAUAGGUUAAAGUGAAUAACAUUUUUUUUAUUAAAAUUUGUAAUUUUCAAACUUUUUUUUUUAUAAUUAGAAUAGUGUUCUUAAGAACAUAUACGAGUAUCUAAACGUAAAGUCAUAACUACAAAUAGAACCUUAAAACUAAAACAAAUUAAAUAUAACAGAUAAAUAAAGUUUGGUUAAUAUUGAAUCCCAAAUUCAACUGACGUAAGCUGUCACAUCAUUUAUAAAAAGAUUAACUCACUUUGAGAUGAGAUAGUAAAAUUUGAUUCAAUCAUAAAAAAAUCAAGUCUAAUUUUGUUAAGUUAAAUAUUAUAUGACGAUUUGACUUGUUAAAUAUCUUUAAUUUUUUCAUCCUCAACAUUUAAUUUAAGUUGUUACUUAAAAUAAUUAAAUCCAAUACUAGAUAUUAUUAGAAAGUGAUUUUUAAACUUAACUCAACUCCACAAAAUUGAUAUGUAAGGUGAGGUUUGCAACCCACUUAUAUAUUAUAAAUGGGUCUUAUCUCUAGUCGACGUGAGACUUCCAACACACGACGAUGUAUAGACAUCUCGAGCAUGAGAGUAAAAUUAAUGGAUGGUCCGAUAGUGACUCGAUAACGAGUGGAACAAAAUGUCACAUAGAUCUCAUUAGGAUAGAGUCUAAUCAUAAUUUUGAUAUCAUAUUAGAAAGUAAUUUUUAAAUCUAAUUCAAUCCCACAAACUUCACCUUGAUUUUGUGAAAUUGGUUUAGACUUAAAAACCACUUUUUAAUAUAUAGUAAAGUAUGUUGCUUGAAUUGAAAGAGUUUGGAAUUAAACAUUGAUUGUGUUUUGUAAAGAAGUGAUGAGAGAUACGGAAACAUGUGUUUGUUUGGGUUGGUCCAUGAUUAUGUUUAGUUUGCAUGGGAAGACCUAGCCACCAUUUGUUCAUAUCAAAAAAGCUUCAUUCAGAAGAUGAAACCUUUUGUUGACCAGUCAAGUCUGGGUUGAUGGAAGUAACUUUUGUACUUUGAAAUGAAAAAAAAGAGUAGCUUUUGUACUUAAUAAAAAAUUAUUAUUAUUUAUGGAUAUGGUUGAUGCAGUAAAUUAGCGCAAAAAGUUCGCGUUGGAAAGGUUUGAAGACAGGCGUGACUACUGUUCAUUAAAGAAUACGCAUAUGAAAAAAAUUCAUAGACAUGCAAUGAAAGGUAAGAGAUACACCUAAGUUAGGUUAUGACAAUCUACUGCAUCAUCAUGUUGAUGAACAUAACUAACACAUAAGGAAUACUUUUUCCAAUUCAUAAGUUGUAAUUUGGGACUAAUUAUUAUCUUUUAUAGUCUUAAGUAUAUAAUUUAUAUAAAUUUUAGUAUUUAAGUUUAACUUUUAAUUUUACAUUAUUUUUCAUUUUUCAUUUUGAUGUGGGGAUAAUUUUACUCUAUUGGUCUUCUAGUUGAGCUUGUUUUGAAAGUCAUUAUAUAAUAAUAGGUUUUUCGACUUGUGUUGCAUAUUUUAGAAAAGUUUUAUGCUUGGCUAUCGAUUUGGGUAGUCUCUGUUAUGUGUUGUCGACUUUAGGUAGGUUUUGUUCAGUAUUGUCAACUUCAGGCAGAUUUUGCUUAGAUGUUGUUGACUUGAAGCAAGCUUUGUUUUUUUGCGACCUAUUUUAGGCGGGUUUCGCUUUUGAUGUGGCCAACUUUAGGCAGGUUGUCGAUUUAGGGCAGGUUUGGUUGAGCUUACUUGCUUAUAUACUAAAUUCCUUUAUCGAUACUUCACUUUAAGAAAUCCUAGUUGCUAUUUGAGUUCUCUUUAUUCUUGUCCUCAUAUUUCUUAUGUUUUCUUUCGUAUUCGCUUGUUAUAUAUAAGGAAGUGAAGGUGACCGAGCUGAAGGCCGAGUGGGACUUCCUAGCCGGCUUGUGUUCUAGGGUUGAUCGAGAGAUAACGAAUAGAGACAUAAAGAGCCGUGUUGUUCAUUUGACCUUUGGACUUCAAGCCAAGGGACGAGAAAAUGACAUUGAUAACAAAGGCUGAGAUGGUCGAGACAAGUGCUAGUGAUCUACCUAAAUAUAAAGGUUUGCCAGUUUUGAGGCUGAUGAUGUUGGUCUGGAUGAGGAGAGUACCAACUUUAUGACUGGCAAGCUAGCGGCCUAUGUUGAGAGUUUUAAGAAAGAGGUGGGUCGCCUUCUUUAGUCCCCGUUUGGACUUGGGGUAGUGGACAACUCAUAUACUCUAUCAUUGGAAUGUUGAUUGGUUCUUUCUUAUGUACUUAGGUAUUGUCACACCGAGUUGUUAUCUACUCUUGUACUCUAGUCAAGUUACACAUAUACUAGAACGUCAAGUUGCUUUCGUACCUUAAUAACUAGAAAAACUAAAUAAUUUUUUAUGCUCAUCUGAUGUUUCUCCUUCUAUUUUGUUUGAGUGACUUAAUGACUUGCCUUGCUUGGAGGGAUUUUAGUUGGUUAUUUGGUGAAGUAACUCGAUUUUCUUGUUGACGUAGCCUGGUGUCUCACCUAGAGGGCUUGUGGUGUCUUGUUUGGAGGGGUUUUGGUGCCUUAUUUGGAGGGAUUUCAGUGUCUCGCUUAGAGUACUUUUAAUGACUCGAAUGGAGGGCUUUUGGUGUCACCUAAGUAACUCAGAUUGCAUCUCCGUGGUCUUUUUUGAUAUGGAACAAAACUAGAAUAGGAAAAAUACAGCCUAAGAAAACCUAUGGUAUUUCAUUUUAUGUUUCUUGUCACUCUUUAAACUCUUCAUUCUUGACGUAUGUAUGAUCAUAUCAUUUUCUCAUUACCACCUCCAUGGUCUUUUCUCAUUGCCACCUUCGUGGUUUUUUCUGAUUGCCACCUAUGUGGUCUUUCUCGUUGCCACUUUUGUUGUCUUUUAUUGUUGUCACCUUUGUGGUCUUUAAUUGUUGCCACAUUCGUGGUCUUUUAUCAUUGCCACCUUUGUGGACUUGUAUCGUCGACCUUCGUGGACUCUUAUCGUUGCCACCUCCGUGAAAUUUUAUGGUUGCCACCUCUAUGGACUUUAAUCGUUGCCACCUACUAGAAUUUUAUCAUUGCCACCUCCUCGAUUUUUUAUUCUUGCCAUCUCCAUGAACUUUUAUUGUCGCCAACUUUAGGGACUUUUCUCAUUGUCAUCUAGUAACUCAGGUGCCUCAUUUGAAGGCUUAUGGAGCCAUGUUUGUGGGAUGUGUUGUCGGAGUAGACUUUCUUGUAGUGAAUAUUUUUCUUUAUGCAUUCGUAAGAGGAGCUGAUGACUUGAACCUAAGCCUAAACUCUAUUCAAAGGCCUAUUACUUGUAGCAUGGUGAGAAAGCUCCAAGAGCAACUUAAAGAUGUAUCCAAGGAAGGAGAAGUUAAGACCUUGUUCACUUAGAAAAGAGACUCGCCCAGUGCAUACCCUUGGGUGCUCAACACGUGCACCUUAGCUUGCUCCUUUAAGCAUGUGUAGCUCAUAUUAUUCAUGUAUUAAACAUUAAAAAUGUGCCUAAUACGUGGCACUUGAUCCACUUAUCAUGCCUGAUCAUCAGGAUCUUAGUUAGGCAUCGUGGAGAGGCAUGGAUCAUGCUAUAAAUUCACCUCUCCUACAUAAUUUAUAUUGACUUUGAUGUUUAUGGUAAUGAACCUAUGUUGAGAUCACUCCAGAUUCAUUCUAGUUCAAAGUCACGACCAAAGAGAGUGUUUUAUCUCCUUUAGUCACCUUCCUUAGAUAGGAUUCAUACUAGGCCUCUUGCUCGCACCAUACACGAAACCAUUCCACCUCACCGAGAGCUAUUCACCAUAAUUUCCUCAAACACCUUUCAUCAUACUCUGUAUUUCGUUGCCUCGUCUAUCCUUCACCUUAGUUCUGCUUCUACAUCCGUGGAUAACUCACAGUCUAGCCAUGGAGGGAACUUAUCAAGAGCCUAGGGAAGGAAACCCCUAUUACGAUAACUCUUUUUCUUGCUCUUCCAAGUCUUUUGGUCCUUAAAAUUUCUUUAUUUUGCCUUCCUUUCUUUAUGGUUAUUUUUGCAUAGUUAUGUAGUGUGAUUGUAGUUGUGCUGCUGCUAGCCAACAAUCAUUGUUAACGUAAAAGAGCAUAAACAAAUAAUUAAACAAAUAAAACAUCGUGAGUAUAUGUUUUUAAAAUAAAAUGCUUGCUUAUCUCUUGGACGUUUGUCAUUGUUCCAUCUUAAGCAUUCUUUUAGUGGACAUUUGUCCUCGUGCUUAUCUACUCUUGAGGUUUGUCUUGAUUGAGGUUUGUCUUGAGAUGACCUUAAUUAUCUUUUUUUUUAUGUUCUUCUACCUUGUAGGCUCUGUUUCGGAGGGGAUCCAUAAUGAAAUAUGAUUCUUUCCCAGUUGGGUGGAAGCUUUCUUUCUGCUUUAUGGUUGGACUUUCUAUAGGCUAGGUGUGCCCUUUGUAUAAUUCUUUCUUGGAUUUGGGUAUUGCAAUAUCAGAUUGUAAUCUACUAAUGUAGUUGGGCACCAGAACACCAAGUUAUUCCAUUACUCGGACAUUGGAAAGCAAAGUUUCUAUUGUACUCGGUCAUUGGGAAGUCGAUCUUUUAAUGUACUCAGUCACUGAAAAGUUACACUUCUACUGUACUCGACCCCUGAAAAGUCGAGCUUCUACUGUACUCAGUCACUAAAACGUUCGACUUAUUCUUGUGCUCACUGAAGUCUUCUUGGACUUAAUAAGAUACUCUUGUACUCGACAUAAAUACAAUAAGCUGAUAUUGUACUCGGGACACUAGAUCACCGGGUUUACUCCUAUAUUUAGACAUUGAAAUGCCAAGUUUGAUGUUGUACUCUGACACUAUACCGGUGAGUAGAUCUUGUGCUCAUUGAACUCUUCUUGUACUCAAGUAUUGGAACGCUAAGUUUCUCCUGUAUCGGGCUGCCGAUUUACUACUAUGCUAGAUAUCAUCAUAUCGAGCUUUGUUUUUGUUCUUUUUGUACUUGGGUCAAGUUGCUCACACACCGAAAUGUCGAGUUACUCUAGUGCUUGGUUGUUAUAUUGCUUGUUGUGUUCGAGCACUAGGAUUCAUAUGCGUUUUUGUACUCGAGUACUGGAAUGUCGAGCUUCUUUUGUACUUCGUGCCUUUCUUAUACUUGAAUACACGCCAAAUUGUUUGAUAUCUUUUGUUGAUUCCUUGCCUCAUAUAGAUGUUGUUUUUUUUCUUGAUUGGAGGGCAUUUAUCACUGUCUAAGUAUCUCAGGUAUCUCCUUUACAGUCUUUUAUUGAAUAUUGAGAAACAUGAAUAUUAAUAAAAAGAAAAAAAGAUUAUUAUUAGGAAUUAGGAUGUGCCUCAUUAAAACCCUGCCUAACAAGAUCCAUCUUAUGAAAAAAUCCGUUAUAACGAAAAAAAGUACACACAUUCUCAUAGUACAUUCAGAGAAGGAAAAAAAGGUUCAUAUAAUCGUGAAAUGUUUUAACUAUAAUAUGCCUUUAAAUGUGUUGGGAUGAGCUUGCCUCUAGCUCUUCGGGCGUUGUUGUCCAAAACAACUUCGAUGAUGUGGAAGCAUUGGUAUGUAACAUAGGAAAACUCUAGAAAUGAGGAGGGUUUUGAUGGAGAUUACUUUGAGGUGACUCCUUCAACAUAAGAUGAUCUCCUAGAUGAGUUUAUGAAGAAAGCAAGAAGAGCAUAAAAAAAAUGAACAAAUUUGGCUAAGCCAAGAAGAGGUAACGAGAAACAAAAAUUGGAAUUUGUGAUUUUCUCUAUUUUUCAACUAAAAGAGCUUUGAUAAUUAAUAAAUGUAUAUGAUAAAAGAUAUUUUAGAAAAAAAAUAUCUUAAGAUAUUUUAUUUAAUAUUGUUAAAUAAUUAUCCUAUUUAANUAUAUCAAUAAAUAUAAAAAGAUAAUAUUUGUCAAAUCUUUUAAAGUGUAAUAAAUAUUUUUUUCAAAUAUUUUUAGAUCUCCACAACAAUUAAAUAUAUCUUGAAAAAAUUGAAUUAGGAUAUUAUAUUAUGAUAUGAUCAUAUAUGAGACAACAAUGAAGAGAUUUUAGAGUUAAAAAAGAACAAAAAGAAUAGAAUAGGUUUUCUUGGAUUGUAUUUGCCUCUUUUGUUCUUUCAUAGCUUUCUCCUUUUGUCACUUGUAGUGCAAGUAAACAUGCAUAGUUUGUAGCUUUCAAAUUCUAGACUUGCUAGAAAGCUUAUAAACCCUUUAGGAAUGAAAAAUUUAAGAGAUGUGAGACUAAUAUACACUUAGGACGCUGUUAGUCAACUUGGGAAGCAUUCCAAGUCCCAAUUAGAUUAACUACAAUAGCUAAAGCAUUGAUACAAAUGCAGCUUUCCAGAACCUUUCUGGUUUCAAUCCCUCAAAGGAUGUAAGAUCCUCACAAUCUGCAACAAAGUAGAGCCCUAAAAAUAAUCCUUCCCUGAAAUCUUACUGCCUAAAACCUUCUCCACAAACGACCUUGCGGUUCUCUCUGACUAAGGCACCACAGAACAGUGUUUGAAGUACGCUGUUGCUAUAUUUUGCUCAACUUGUUCCUGACAAAUCCUCUGCACCGAUGUUUCCCCAAGAACUACCGAAAUACGUGUUCAGAAACAUAAUUGGCUGUUGUGCAAUGCAAAACUUACUGUUCAUUUUAGUAACUGGUCAGUCAACUUUUUUAAAUCCCUCAUGAUGAGCGUGUUGUUAGUUGUGUACCUAUGAUUAUACCUGUUGUGUAUAGCCCUUAAGUAAGUACUAUGAUAGUGGUCAAUGCUAUUAAUUUCGAGCUAUAUUGUUUGCAUGAAGGUUGGAAUUGUUUCCUCGAUCUAUUUGUUGUUUGUUGGCUGUGCACUUUUAUGUUAGUAAGUUCUUUUACCAUUUAAAUAUGUUAGAGAGAAUGAAGUAUUGAUUCCUGAUUUAUGAUCCUAUAUGCUUUCAGCCAAGCCAAAAUGGUUGCAGAAGCAUUGGCAAGUGGUAACUUGAGGAGGCUCAAACUGAAUCACAUUUUCAAGGUCAUGUUCAUGAUUUCGAUGAAAAGCCAUCCUUUUACCAAAAUGAUUGUUUUAUCCUUUUUGAGACACAUUUUUAACUCAAAACUUAAGAGCAUUUCAUUUUUCAUUUGUGUUCUCUUCUGAAGACAGACAAACCAAUUGAGUUAAAAGCCAUUGAAGGUUGAAGAUUCCAUUGAUGGCUGCUGAUGAACCAAUUGAACCUUUCCAUCUUUGUUUUUUUCCUCUCUCUUUUCAUCUUUGUUAUAAACAAACCAUAACCAAGGGUAUCAGCAGCACUGUGAAAGAGAUAAUUAGAACUUGCACCUCUGCUAAUGGGGAUAUUGAGGUUCCUCUUGAUUCGUGUUAAUCCAUUUUCGAAGAUUUGGUUUCAUUGUGUUUCUUUUUUGUGGCAAUUUGUUUUAUUUUUGAAUUUUUGGAUUUGUUUUUAGAAAUGGUUUUAAUAGUCAAUUGAAAAAUGAUGGUUAAGAAUGUAGUUUGAUAACGCAUUGUUAGAAUUUGAGCAAUUUUUUAAGGAAUGGUGAUAUAUGAUAGGGAUUUCCAAAGCAAUUGUCAAAUUUUAACCUUGUUUCGAGGUUGUAAUUUUAUGAUCAAAUUCAGUUAUAUGUCAUAGUUUUACGAUAUAUAUAUAUAUAUAUAUAUAUAUAUAUAUAUAUAUAUAAAUAUAAACGAUGACAUUUCACAAAUUUAAUCUUUUAUUCCAUGUUGAGGUUAAUUAGAGCAAUUUGAAAUCGUAUAUAUUGUCGAGAGUAAAUUAUGUAUUUUUAUAUUUAUUCAUUCUAAAUAAGAGCUAUUUUUCUUUAUUACAGAGUUCUAAUACUAGAUUAUUGUUCUAAUACUAGAUUUUAUUAUUAAAGAAAAAUAGAGUGUAUAUUCUAAGAAGAGAAUACAAAUAUGUAAAAUAAGUAAAAACGUAUUUCUAGAUAGUUAGAAAGUGUCUAGUUUCUCUCAAUUCCCAGCCAAUUCCAACUCUCUUCUUCCUUCACUAUCUUUCCACGCCUUAUACCCAUACAAUAGAAUUACUCCUUUCCUAAUGUGUCAGUUCAGCAGUUUGUUACAUGGAAGGAUUCUUCCCAUUUUCUCUCUUGCCAUUUUGAUCCCUUGCUUUGCCAUUCCUUCUUUGUUUAACAUACACCUUAGAUAUUUUGGGUUUGGGCCUAAUUAUUUCCGAGUUCCUAUCAAUACUCCCCUCCACAAGAUGCACCUUGUCCUUAAGGUGGAGUUCUAAAAAAUGAUACAAGGUUGUUUCUCCUUUUAUAAGUGAAAGAGUAGACUAGGAUUCAAUGCACCUAAGAGGAACUAGAAGCUUCCUGUGACAAGGGGGAAAGAAUGGGAGCCUUCCCCCAUAACUUUUGUCCAAGUUCAAUGUAAGGGAGCCUCCCUUGAUGUUGACAUCUUUCAAGGCUUCCAAAGACCCAUUUCAUGCACCAACUUUCUAGAAUGAGCCUUAUUGGUGUGCUAGCUUUUCCUUAAGGCUACUAAGCUUCUAAAACAAAGCUAAAAAAAUGUCUUAGCCAAAUACAAGGCCUAAUGAAACUAUUUUACAUUUUUACAAAAGAUAUUAAGGAUAAAAGAAGAAGUCUAAUAAGUGAUCCUCCACAAAAGUAAUGUUCAUGAAGCUCCUUCUUCUUCUUCUUCUAUCCUUUUGACCAUGCUUCUUGCCAAUGGUCCAAGAUGUCCUCCUGAUGCUCCUUCAUCAGGUUUGGAUAGAGUUUUAAUUUUUUUUGCAAAACAAUGUUUAAUCUUUUUUUCAAGGGUUAGAUGGUCUGUAAUAGUUAUUAAACACUUAAGUCUUUAAAAGUGUUUAGUGAAGACCUUUGAAAAACAAAACCAAUAAGUCACACUUAUUUUUAUACUAGUUUGCUCCAAACUAAACUUGAUGACGGCAUAUACAUGUCAUCAUUUAGCCUUUAAUAUUGGAUUCUUAAUUGAUUUUUGUACUUUAAAAGAGUAUUCUAAUUAGGAUUUGUUAUAAUUGGCUUUAUUGAGCAUGAGAUACAAAAACAUGAUAAAAACAAUUUUUUAGUUGUAUAAAUAUUCUUUGGAUAUUUUGAUCUGUGUUAGUGCAACUGUAACUAAGUUGAGCUCAUUGAUGCAUGAAAAUAAAUUGAUUAAAGUUUCAUGACACCUUAAAGAUAAAUCCAAGAAUAGAAAAUAAUCAAAACAACAAGAAGUCAAACCAAACAUUUGAAGAAGGCAAGAAAAGCAUGAAAACAAUGAAUAAAUUUGGCUAAGGCAAGAAGAGGAAACAAAAAACAAAAAUUGAUCUUAUAGUUUUCUCUAUUUUUUUCAACUAAAAGAGCUUCGAUAAUUAAUAUAUGUUUAUGAUAAAAGAUAUUUUAAGAAAAAUAUAUUUUAAGAUAUUUUAUUUAAUGUUGUUAAAUAAUUAUCUUAUUUAACUAUAUUAAUAAAUAUAAAAAGAUAAUAUUUAUCAAAUUUUUUCAAAAUAUAACAAAGAUUUUUUCAAAUAUUUUAAAUCUCCACGAUAAUUAAAUAUAUCUUUUUGAAGAUAUUGAAUUAGAAAAUUAUAUUAUCAUAAAAAAAAUUACAUUCAAGACGUGCACAAAAAGACUUAUUUCCUUAUAUGGUUUUCUGAACUUAACAAGUAACCCGAAAGAAUUCUAAUACUUUUUGUCGUAAUCCAAGGAAAGUUAUACACAAUAAAACAAGGCAUGUAAACAUACCAAAGCAUAAACUAGUCACUGAUCAUAAUUGGUCAUUGAUGGACAUUAAAACUAAAAGCCUAAACUUGUUAGGUUGAAGAAUACAGGGUAGAAUCCAUAAAAUCUCAUUUGACAAGGGCUAAAAAAAUUAGAAUUUGCUGUUUGAUCCAGCAGGUAUAGUAUGGUGGAAUUUAACCUUGUUCUGCUGAAUUUUUCUGUUUUAAUUUCUGUUGGGUUUUACUAAUGUUUUUUAUUUAGAUAAUGAUAGUUUGACAACAUUUUAACAUUAUUUAUGUAUCAUUGUGUGAUUGGUUCAUGUUAGUGUUUUUUCUAAUUAUUAUUGUUGAUUGUAGAGUAAUUUUAAACUAAUCACAGAAUGUCAUAUAAAUGAUAUUAAAAUGUUGUCAAAAAAUAUUUUCAAAGUAUCAUUAUCUUUUUUAUUUAUAUUAUAGGUUUCUAAUUAAAGGUGCCAACUAAUACAACCAAGUCUGGACAUGUAUAAUAUAACGUGAAAAUCAUUUGAACAAUUUUUUUCUUUUUGAAAACCAUAUGUUAGGUUUUCAUUUGUAGUACUUCCUCACAAUGUUUGCUAGUUUUUAAUAACUCAUUGUAUUUGAAUUUGAAUUUUAAUGUGUAUAUUUGUUAUAUUUUGGUAUAAAAUUAUAUAACUUGUCAAUUGAUGAAUGUUAUAUCUAUUUAUGUAUAAAUUCAUCAAGCAUAGAUAAACAAAUACAAUAAUUGUAAACAAUCAUGGUUGAAAAAACAUAAACGAUAAAUAAAUGAAACAAACUAAUAUAUGUUUUAAAUAUCUAUGGUAGUUUAAGGAAGUUUUGAGACUCAUGGUAGUAUAUAUGAAAGUUUUGAAAGUCAUGAUACUUUAUGGAGAUUUUGAAAACCUAUGGUUGCUAUUGGUUGCUGUUUCUUUGGGGUUCGAAAAGAUCUUGGAUAACACAUUCCCAAUGAAUGGUUUAGAAGCCAAAAUUCAAAACACUGAUAAAUAACUUAAGGAAGGUUUUAACCCUUGGUAAUGUAACAAAAAGCCUUGGUUAAAACUAAUUUUUAUUGUAGUAUAAAAGAGUACGAGUGUCAAGUAGGUCCAAACUACUAGCAACAUUGAUCAAUCUUAACUUGUAAAUAAAUAAAAAAUAUAUAAUAAAUUAUUUUGGGUAUAGGUUAGAUUUUUUAGAUUUUGUAUUUGAUCCAAGUAUUAUUUUAGCUUCGAUUAGGAUUAGAUUAAGGUUAAUAUAACUUAAUUUCUUCAACUUUUGCAUUACAAUUCUAAUUCAACAACUCAACUCAUCUCUAGCUUGGAGUGACUGUCAUUAAUAUGGUUGUUCUUGUUAAGAAAAAAUCGUCUACAUGACUUAACUAUUUAAACAUUUUUAUAUGUUUUGAAAUUUAUAAACAGUAAUAAACGAAAUGAAUAUAUGGUAUUAUCAUCAUUAAAAUAGUAAUAUAGCUAAACUACAAAAGGUUUGUGGAAAUAUUCUAAAAAAAUCCAAACAUCUUAAGGAAAGUCUUAGUAAAAACACCUAGGUAUGAACAAACGCAUCACUAAACAAUUUUCCUAAUUAAUGCAUCAAUGAGAGUCUUGCUCAAAUGUAAUAAAUGUUAUACAUCGCUAGGCGAUGAUCAAACACACACUCGAUAUAUCUUGAUAGAACGACGAUUUGGAAAGCACGCUAAAAGUAUCAAAUGAUAUUCCAAAAACUUAUGUUGAAGACACCUUGCUAAAUGCAUCUUUGAAUGAAAUAGAGAAAAACUUACAGAAGUGUUUACAUAGGUUAGACGAUAUCAUGUGCCAAAUGAUCUACUUCGUCCAAUGGUGAAGUCUUCAUCAACUACUUGGUAUCUUAGUGAAAAGCUUAAACAAUCAAAUCUUACCUGAAUGGUAUAAAACGUAAAAAGCACUUUGUUGUUCUGAAUAGACAUUAAAUUCCAUUAAAUUCUCAACGUUUAAAAACAACAAAAGUGAUAAGAUAAAGGACGUAUCUGCUGCAUGCAUAUCUACCCUACUUUGUGUAGAUUGCCUAUUACACGCAUCCAACUGCUCCAUCCUAUAAAAAUGAGAAAUUGACGUUAAAAUCAAAGAAGAUAUUCACGAAAUAUUCUCUUCAUCAAAAGUCGUGCCAAAACAAUUUGUGCUGCCUACUUUUGUCAAAGUAUUGAAAAAGCAAGUUCGCUAUGACAAGUUGACUUUAACCAAUGACUGCCACAUCGACAAGACCGAGAAGACUCAAGAUUCAAAGCAAAGCUUUGUCUAACGAAUAUCUUUUUGAGAAGCCUUUAAAUAGAAGAUCAUUCAAAAAGAGAAUCAAGAUAAUAUAAUAUAGAAAGAAAAGGCUCAAGAUAACAACGUCGAGAGAAAGCUUAAAAGCACAUGAACUCAAAAGAGAAUAUCUGGGAGAGAAAAACUCAAGAAAAGAAACACUCUCAAGCUUCAUUGAUAUACAAGCUUACUAUUGUAAGAAGAGAGAAGAGAGAAAUAUUCAAUGAGUUUGUUAGAUUGAGUUUGUUAGAGUGGGUGAAACUCUGAUGUUUAACUUGGUGGAGUCAAACAAUAACUAGACGAGUUUGUCUAGUGGAAACCAAGAAUGAGUGAAACUUAACUAGACAAGUGUAUCGGGAAGAUACCAAGAGUGUCUAGGGAUAAUAAGAGUAGUGAAUAAUAUUGCACAACCAGGAUUGGGUGAAACAAUGGUUUCUUGGAAUGACUAGGGAUACCAGGAGUAGUGAGAAUACUCAGUUGUAAUUUUGUUGAAGAUUAUAGUGGAAUCCUCUAAGGUGUUAGAGGAGACUGGACAUAGCUCAAUGAAGCUAACCAGUGUAAAAAUAACUGUGUUUAUUAUUUUAUUCUUCCUAAACGUUUCUCUUACAAAUCUUGCAGUAUUCUCUGUUUGAAAACUUGUAUUGACCUUCUCCUCUUCUUUGUUCGAAAUCCUGUAUUGACGUUUUCCUCCUCUCUAUUUGAAAUCUUCAAAUUCGUGAACUCUUCUCUACUUGAAAUCCUUAAUUUCAUAAACAUUCAUUUUUUUUUUCUAAACCCUAAUCCCAAAAUUUCCAUAUCACCAAGUCAUUAUUGGGUUAUCGUCACAAAAACAAAUGCCACGACACUAAAAAAUUCCAAACAUAGUAUGACCAAUAAGUUAACAUUAACUAUUUAAAUGUCGUGACUUGAUUGAUGUAUAUUAAUCCAAAUGUGGAACCAAGUAGACAUACUAUCCUAAAAGUAGAACCACUGAACAAUUAAAUCUAAAAAAAAUUGAUUCCAUAUAGAUUAUUGUGAAUAGACUAAUGAAGUCAAUUUACUAUUUAUCUAUUAACAUUAUAUAUUCAUUGGGAAAGUUCACUAAGUUAUACAUAAUUAUAAUUUUUGUUUAGAGUAUAUAAUUGUUUUUAUAAAUUUCAUUAAAAACAAAAUUUGUAAAAAUGUAUCUAUAAUCAAAUUAAAAUUAAUAUAAUUUUAUUAAUUACAAAAAAUAAUUAAUUGGGACGUACAAUGACUAUAUUUUUUUUUUUUUUAUAUCGAGAUCUUAAAAAUAUCAUUUGUUCUUCUCUAACUUUGUGUAAAUUACUACAAAUAGUAUUUCCAUACGUUUCACUUAAAUUGUGAGUACUUUUAUUGAAUUUUUGUAUUAAUGAUUCACACACACCUUAUAACCAACUUAUCAUAUCAAAACAAGAAUUUUGACUAAUACCCAGUUUAUCAUAGAACAUUUCAAAAUUGUCAUAAAAAUAAAUUAUUUUCUAUUUUUUUAAUAUAAACACAAUGUAAACGUGUAAUCUAGCGAGUAAUUUAACCACUAUUAUAAUUUAUUUAAACGAUUAUUUUUAAACUAAAUUACUUAUAAAUAAUUAAGUUUAUAAAUUAAAAUGUUAAUAUAAGAUUAAGUUCAAAUAGUAAUAAUAAAUAAUUAUCUGCGGUAAUUUCUUUUAGAAAAGAAGACCAAAUCUAGAAAAAAAAUUAUGUGUUCAAAGACAUUUAACAAAAAUUAACCAGUGAAUUACAGUAGAAUAAAGUUACUGUUUUCAAAUACCAUUCCAUCCGAUCCCACUGUGCCCUUAGCAGCGGAACGGAGAAAGGGUGACAGUGAUACAGUGUCACACAAGCUGUUUCCCUUAGUGUUGGGUUCGAUGGGUGAGUGCCGGUAUUCAUGCAAGAGCGCUGUCGAGACACUGGCAUGGAUCAACGACAUUAUCCACUUCCUUGCGCCUUAUUCUUCCUUAAUCAAUGCUCACGUUGUCAAUUUCUUCAAGGUUCAUCUGAAUUCCACUUUUCACUUUUUUUUUUUUAAUUUGUAAUUUAAUUAAGUAUAAGGAAAUGGUGAUGAUUGAAUUUCAGGAUAGGCUAUGGGAGAAUGUUGAGGCCGAAUGGAUCGAAUGCCUGCGCCGUGAACCUGUUCAAAAUCUUCUGCUGAUACCUUCUGGUGCAGUUCAGGUUGCUUUUUCCAAUAUUCCUUUUUCUUAUUUAUUUAUUUUUAUUUCUCCAAUUUAGGUUUUCUGUUUAGCAAUAUUUGCUGAAAUGCAUCCUUUGUUGUUUGGAUUAGUUUACGCUUGCUUGCCUUGUUGAUAUAGAUUAUUUCUGAUUCCGUUUUAAGAGCUCAGGUUUAACUUUAGUAUUUGAUUUGGGAUGCUUUGCUUAAUUUGAUAAUGGCUACUUGUUAUCUUUGCAUUCUGUGUUUUAUAGCUCCGAUGUUAUUGUCUUUCAUUGCUAAAAUUAAAUUCCUCCAUGACAUCUGGGCUAUGUUUGGUUUCACUUCUUCAAAAUCACUUAAGUAAAGGAACUUCUGUAUAAACUAAAAUUAACAUAUAUUUUGAAAAUAGUGAAAACAAGGAAUACGGUUAAUUUUCCCUUGUGUAGAAAAUAUAUAUAGGGUAAUAUAUUUAUAACGAAGAAUAAUAAAAGAAAAUAUAGACUAAGUCCAAACACACAUAUUAUUGUAACUAACAUAAGAUAUUCUAACUAACAAUGUCUUAACAUUAUUUAAUACUCCUCCUUAAUCUUGUGCUUAUAAAGUGCCAAACUUACGAAUAUAAUUAAUUCUAGGUCUUUAGGUACAAUCUUUUCUCGAAUAAAAUGAUAGUCAAUUUCAACGUGCUUGAUCCUUUCAUGAAAGAAAGAUUACAACUAAUAUUAAGAACAACCUGAUUGUCUAAUAUAAGUGUCAUUUGAGUGACAUCUCCAAUGGAAUAAUGGAAUAAGGAACCUUAUUAUUGAGAGAAGAGGACAACAUUCUAUUAAUAAGAAAACAAGCAAUAAAGAUCACAUCGCCCUCUCCCCAAUGAUGGACUCGUACAUUAGCACCAAGCAAUAAGGUACGAAUAGUCUCAGCCAAGUGACUAUUUUUUCUCUCUACAAUAUCAUUUUUGUUCAGGAGUAAGGACCAGUAGAUUGAUGUAAAAUGCCAUGUGAACUUAAAACUCUAGAAAAAUUAGAGAAGUCCUCUAUGGCAUUGUCACUCCGUAACUUUUAAUUACUUUUCCAAAUUGAUUUUUAAUUUCAUUCAUAAAAGAUGUAAAGGUAGACAAUAAUUCUUCUUUCAUAAGAUAAAUCCAUGUGAACCUAGAGUAUUCAUCAAUGAAAGUAACAAAAUAAAUGAAACCAAAAGAUGAGACAUGACUUGGUCCUAAAUAUCAUAAUGAAUAAUAGAAAAAAUAGAAUUACACCUUGGUUCAAAUCUUUUUGGAAAGAAGAUCUAAUGUGUUUACCUAAAUGACACGACUUACAUUCUAAUAGCUAAAGACUACUAAGUCCGGGAACCAUUUUUAUUUUAAUUUUGACAAUUGUGAAUGUCCUAUAUGGUCAUGCAAAAGUUUUGUAGAUGGAGAAGCAAAAAAAGACACACGUUGACUAGCUCUAAAAUUGUACAAACCUCCAAACUCAUAUCUUUUUCCAAUAAGUCACCUUGUAUUACGUUUUUGUAUAACAAAGGAAUUGACAUCAAAAGUUAUUGAACAAUUUAAAGACUUGGUUAAUUGACUCAAAUAAAUAAGAUCGAUUGAACAAAAGAAAGAACAAAAAGAACUACUUUUACAUUUAAGAAAGGAGAAAGUGAAACCUGACCAAACCCUUAGGAGGAGAUUUUAGAGCCAUUGGCUAAUGUGAUGAAAAAAGGAUUUUUGGAAAGGAAAGAGAUGAAAUCAAUGAGGCAUUACCAAAAAUGUGGUUAGAAGCAAUGAUUCAAUUUUAUCCAUGGACUUUGACCUUCCAUGGAUUGUGAGAUUCAAGCUAUCGAGAAGCUGUGAUUUAUAGAUGAUUAUGCCAAGCUAUUAGAUUUCAACCUCAAAUAUUGUUGGUAUUCUUCAUCAGAGAAUUUCGGUUUAACAAUUUCAAUACUAGAGACAUUGGUUGUUUUGUUAGGAAAGCCGUGCAAAGAGAAAGAGACAAGUGUUCCAAACAAUGUCGUUGGCAGAGAAGGAGAAAACAACUAAGGUAGAUGAGAACCCUAGGGUGACCUUCAACUAUUAUGCCUUUGACCAUGUCAGAAUGAAUUUCCAAAGUUCAAAACAGAGACAGGGAGUUCUAGUGAGACCUGUGAUGGCGGCAUGACAAAGUUCCUAUGAGAGGAAGGCUACACGUGGGUGACAAGUGUCUAGUAAUGGCGGACACAGAAUGAGCGUGUUGUAGUGUGUGGAGGAGAACCAACUUCUGGGAUAGGUGGGGUUAGCUGUCGUUCAGAAAGACCCUUUAGAUCCGGUAGUUGCUGGUGAAAACUUUGGACGGUGGUUGACAGACACGAUGAAUGGUGAAAAUUGCGUCAGAGAAGACUGAGACUAUAUUUAAGUUGAGAUAAAUAAAAGAGACUAUAUUUAAGUGUAAAUUGAGAGAGUUUGAAAACUCCCCCCAUUUGUUUCAUAUUUAUAUUGAUAGGAUUAUGAUACAAUGUUUAUAGGGAAGAUCAAAGAUCAAUUAUAGUUACAUAGGGACUAAGAUAGGUAAGACUAAUAAGUACUAGUAUUUUCCUAAUACAACUACUUGCUAACUAUAUUUAAUGCUUAUUCUAACACAGAUAAAGGAAAUACCCAAAUCUCUGGAUAUUGUGAUGUUGAUUGCACAUGUUAUCCUAUGGAUAGAUUUUCUACUGCAAGAUAUUGUGUUUUCAUUGGAGGAAAUAUUAUCUUUGAGAAACAAAAUGUAGUUCCUGGUCAAUUGUUGAAGCUGAGCGUAGGGCAGUGACAUGUCUCACUUGUGAUCUUGUAUAACUUAGAGUUGGGAGAGAAACUAAAAUUUUAUUAUUACUGUUUUCUUAACCCUAAUACAUCAUACUAUCCUAUUUAUAAGGGAUAGUAGUUCAACAUACAAAGGAAAAACAGAAGGCCCUAAAAGGCCUACUAGAAAAAUACAUUACAUUUUAACACUCCCCCUCAAGCUGGAGCAUAUAGAUCAUAUACACCAAGCUUGGAACAUAUAAAUUGAAUUCUAGGCCUCCUUAGAGAUUUGGUCAGAGUGUCUCUGAUUUAUUCAUUAGAGUUGACAAACUUAGUAACAAGUUCCUUGGACAACAACUUCUUUCUAGUAUAAUGACAGUCAAUUUCUAUGUGUUUUGUUCUCUCAUAAAACACUAGAUUAGAGGAAAUAUAAAAGGGCUGCAUGGUUGUCACAGUACAAUUUCAGCUGCUCAUUUUCACAAAAUUUCUUUUCUUGAAGUUGUCUGAUCCACACAAGUUUGCAUGUAGUUAAAGCCAUAGAUUGGUAUUCAACUUCAGCAUUAGAUCUAGCAACAACACUUUUGUUUCUUACUUUUCCAAGAUACAAGGUUCUCUUCAAGUAAAACACAAUAUCCUAUAGUAGAUCUUCGAUCAAUUGGACAACCAGCCCAUUCUGCAUCACAAUAUCCUUCGAUCCAAGUGCUUCCCUUAUUCUCAUACAACAAUCCCUAUCCUGGGUUUCCUUUUACGUAUCUAAGAAUGUGAAUCAAUGCAUUCCAAUGGUCAACAUGUGGAUUCUGCAUAAAUUGACUCACAACUCUCACCGGAUAAGAAAGAAGGUCUUGUUAUGGUAAGAUAUGAGUUUUCCAACGAGUCUUCUAUAUCUCUUCGGGUCUGAGAAAGGUUCACCUUGAUCUCUCAUUCACUUUUGAUUUGAGUCCAUAGGACUAUUAAUUGGCUUGCAAUUUGUCAGGCCUGUUUCUUCUAAAAUAUCAAGAGCAUAUUUCCUCUGUAUAAUGAUGACACCAUCUCUUGACUGUGCCACUUCAAUACCAAGAAAACAUUUUAGACAACCCAAAUCUUUAGUUUGAAAAUGGUUGAACAAAUGAUUCUUUAAUUGAGUAAUUCUAGUGAUGUCAUUCCGUGUAAUAACAAUAUCAUCAACAUACACCAUGUGAUAAACACAUUUGUCAGGAGAAGAAUGACCAUAAAACACUAAAUGAUCUGCCCCCACAUCGUUUCAGUCCAAAAUUUUGCACAACCCGACUAGAUUUACCAAACCAGGCUCGAGGUGAUUGCUUCAAGCAUAGAGGGAAUGAUGUAAUAUACAAACUAACCUAGACUCCCUCUAAGCAACAAACCCAGGAAGUUGCUCUAUGUAUAUCUCCUCUUCUAGAUCACCAUGAAGAAAGGCAUUUUUAAUGUCCAACUGGUAAAGGGGCCAUUGACGAAUGACAACCAUAGCAAGCAAAACACAAACCGUACUGGUUUUAGCCACAGGAAAAAAGUAUCACAAUAGUCAAGGCCAUAAACCUGAGUAUAUCCCUUAGCUACUAGACAAACUUUGAGACGAUCAAUUUCAAUAGUAGAACCAACUUUAAUAGCAUAGACCCAUCUACAACCAACAGGCUUCUUACCAGAAGGAAGAGGGACAAGGUUCCAAGUGCCAUUGUGUUCAAGUGCUUGCAUUUCAUCAAUCAUGGCUUGUAGCCAUCCAGGAUGAUCAAGUGCCUCAUGAAUAUAAUUAGGAACCUUAAGGGAGGAUAACUAGGAAACAAAAGAGAAAUAGGGAGGCGACAAACAAUGAUAACUAAAAAAAUUAUAAACAGGAUAUGGAUUACGAGUAGAGCAAAUAUCUUUUCGAAAGGCAGUGGCCCAAUUAUUAGUCGAGUCAAGAGAAGGCGAGGAGGAUGAAGGAUCUAUGAUCGGGGGAUCUGAUGGAGGAGGAUCUGAGUCUCAAGGAUCUUUAGUGUUCUGAGUCUGAGAUUGUGUCUGACGCUAAUAUGUGAGAAGAGGUGGAGGAACAAUGUCAUUCACAUUUUGAGUUUGAGGUACAAAAGUAGGAAUAACCAAGGGAUCACAUGAUGGUAGAGGAAACAUUUGUUAAAUAGAUAAACGAUCCUCCAUGGAGGAUAAGAAAAAGGUGUGUAUCCUCAAAGAAUGUGACAUCAACAGACAUAUAAUAUCUCUUGGUGGAGUGAGAAUAACAUUUAUACCCUUUGUGAAGACGGGAGUAUCCCAAGAAAACAAACUUAAUAGGUUUUUUAGAGAGUUUAUCAAGACCUGGAGAAACAUUAUGGACAAAACACAAACACCCAAAUACACGUGGAGAGACAUGGUAUAGAGUGUCGUUUGGAAAAAUGACAGAGUGAGGAAUUUUAUUCUCAAGAGAGGAAGAAGCCAUCCUAUUGAUUAGAAAACAGAUAGUGAGGACUGCAUCACCCCAAUGAUGCACAAGAAUAUUAGUAUUCAACAUCAGGAAGCGUCCAGUUUCAAUGAAAUGUCUAUUAUUUCUCUUUGCAAUACCAUGUUGUGGAGCGUGAAGACAUGUUUACUAAUGUAAAAUUCCUUAGGAACAUAAGAAUGAAGACAACUUUGCAGAAAAAUAUUCCUUAGCAUUAUCACUCUAGAGGAUUUCAAUUGUCUUCCCAAAUUGGUUCUUAAUUUCAUUAAAAAAGGACAUAAAUAUGCACAAAAGUUCAGAUAUCUCUUUCAUUAAAUAAACCCAAGUACAUCGAGAGAAUUCAUCAAUGAAGGUUACAAAAUAAUUUAAACCAAACGAAGUAACACAAUUUUGUCCCCAAAUAUCAUUUGAGAGGGGAAAAUUACAUCGAGUCUCAGACCUUUUAGGAUAGGAAGAUCUAACAUGUUUUCCUAACUGAUGAGACUCAUAAUCUAAGACUUGAAUGUUCUUGAGACUCAAAACCAUCAUCUUCAACUUACACGAACUCUGAUGACCUAAACGAUCAUGAUGGUAGAAUUGAAGGACGAUCCUGUGGGGAAUGAGAGUCUAAAGAAGGAGAAGGAUCAUAGAAAAAAGGAAUAUCAACCGUAACAGGUGGAGGUACAGAUCGAGAAGAUAAAUGUGAAAAGUAAAACGAAAAUUCAUCAAAAGUGACAUCAACUGAGAUGAAAUGACGAUUGAGGGAAGGGGAAAAACACUUAUAGCCCUUUUGUGACCGUGGAAAUCCUAAGAAGACACAUUUGUGAGCUCUAGGAGAUAACUUAUCAAGACCAGGACUAAAAUUAUGAACAAAACGUGUAGACCAAAAAACUCUAAGAGGUAAUGGAUGUAAAGGGUCUUGAGGAAAUAAGAUAGAAUGAGGGAUUUUGUUAUCUAGGACAGAAGAUGACAUGCGGUUUAUGAGAUAACAUGCAGUAAGAACUGCAUCACCCCAAAAAACGUGAGGGUACUUGACCAUGGAUUAGAAGUGUACAAGUUGUUUCAAUAAGGUGUGUAUUCUUGCGCUCAACCACCCCAUUUUGUUGAGGGGUAUAAGCACAUGACAUUUGGUGAAGAAUACCAUGAGAAGCCAUAAAAUGUUUAAAUGGUUGAGAAAGGUAUUCACGGCCAUUAUCACUGCGUAAAGUGUGAAUAGAAACCCCAAACUGAGUUUUUAUUUCAUUGAAAAAAGUUUGGAAAAUAGAAAACAACUCAGAACGAUUCUUCAUUAGAAACAACCAAGUACACCUGGAAUAGUCAUCAAUAAAGGUAACAAAAUACUGAAACCCUAAAGUUGACUUAACACGACUAGGUCCCCAAAUAUCAGAAUGAAUCAAUGAAAAGGGGGAUGACGCUCGUUGUGAAACACUACGAGGAAAGGAACUACGAGUAUGUUUACUUAACUGACAAGACUCACACGACAAACUUGAUAAUUUUGACAAACUAGGAACAAGUUGCUGUAGUUUGGCAAGACUGGGAUGACCUAAUUGAGCAUGAAGAAGGGAUGGUGACUCCAUGAUUACGCCAACAUGUGGAGAAGGGCGGAGAUGAUAUAGGCCAUGAGACUCACAUCCUGUUCCAAUCAUGUGUUUCGAACUCCGGUCCUGCAACCUAACAGAAUAUUUGGUAAAUGAAAUAACACAAUUAAGGGAACAAGUUAGACGACUUACGGACAAUAAGUUAAAAGGAGACCCAGGGACAUAAAGUACAUGAUCAAUGGAUAUGGACGGAAAAAUAUGAACAAUACCAAUACCAUGAGAUGAGACUCUAGACCCAUCAGCCAUUGUUACCGAGGGUAAAUUAUCCGGAUAGGACAAGGAAGAAAACAAGGACUUGUUACCGGUGAUAUGAACGGUGGCGCCUGAGUCAAGGACCCAAGAUCCGAGAGAGUGAGUUAGACCAACAAAAGGAUUUCCUGUGACUGUAACAGAAGCAAAUGUAGUGGAACUCAGGCGCUGACGGUCCUCAUACCAUCUGAGAAAUUCCUGAAAGAGUGCAGGGUUGUCUAUGCUAUUUGAUGAAAUAGGAUGGUCUGGGCGAGACAGACCCCGAUUAUUACGUUGGGCAGCCAUGGAGAGGGAGAGACCCUAAAAAUUCAAUGUGCUCCGAUUGAAGCAACGACCACAUAUCUGGAAAGAGGGCGAGGAGGCGAUCAUAGCGGUGUUGGUCGGCGGCGGUGGGCUCCGGGGACGAGCCGGCACGCGCGGCGAAAAGCGGCGGAUUUGUGAACUCCGACGACGGUGUGUGGGGACGCGUGGGUGCUCCGAUCACCGCGAUCUUUGGACCACGAUGGUCGCCCGACCGAGAUGAUUCAGAUGGAGUGGUCGCCGGUCGAUUCUGGAACUCCGGCGACGGCGGCGGCGGUUGCGACAGUGAUGAGUACCGGAGACCGUGGAAGAGGCUGGAACAAAUUAGAACUUAAGCUCUAGAUACCAUGUGAAAUAGUGAAAGAGAUGUGGAGAAAUCUCCCUUGUGUCUUUGCAUACACAUAGGGUAAUGUAUUUAUAAUAAUAAGAAUGUGGGCUAAGCCCAUAUACAAAUGAAUAUGUAAAAAUAAAAUAAUAAGCAUAGGGACUAUAUUUCCCUAAUUAACAUAAACACAUAAUAUCUAACAGUAACAAAUGAGGGAUUUUUGGAGAGGACAUGGAAGAAAAUGAAGGAAUGUUACUAGAGAUAUGGUCGGAGACACCUAAGUCAAGGAUGCAUGGACUAUGACCUUCCACAGAUUUAGAUAUGUAAACAGUUGACACAUUAGAUAUUGAUGAGGAUUGACCAAGAUUAGAAGAUUUUCCACAAGACUUGUACCUACAAAAUUCUUGGUAUUUUUCAUUUGAAAUUAUGGAUUCUAGAUCAUCAGAUUUAGAAACUUGAGCAACUUUGUCUAGAUAUCCAUGUAAGGCAUAAUAUUUCGCUCGACUAUGACCUAUUUUUUAUAAUAUGUGUAUUGAGGACGCAUACUACGACCACCACAUCCUCCUCGGUUGCCUCUACCUCCUCUUCCUUGUGGUGCUACCAUAGCUGAUAUUUCAACACCAUCAAUUGAAUAUUCGUCUUUAACUAAUGUAGGUACUCGAAGAAGUCGAGUAACUAGGCUGUCCAUUGAUGGGACUUGAUCACCAGCUAACAUUUGAUCACAAACAUGAUCAAAAUCUGAGUGUAGACUUCUUAGAAUUAGGACCAUGUGAAACUUAUCAAGCUUCUUGUUUAUGCCUUCUAAAAAAUCAACCACAGGAAUUCUUCAAUUCCUUUACAGCAGCACAAGCCUUUCCUAUGUGAGCGACCAUAUCAUGAUUUACUUGUUUCAGGGAAGUCACUCUUUGAGUGGCAUCAAAGAGACGUUGCACAUCAUUAGCAAAGAUAUCCUAUGCUCUUUUCCAAAAAGAGGAGUACGCUUUGUAAGAUCUCAAAUUUUCUAAGACCUCUUUUUCGACAGAUUGCCAUAGAACAGUACAUAAUUGAAAAUCAAGCUUCUGCCACUAAGAUUUUUCUUCGUUGGGUACACUGGAAAUAUCUUGUUCAACAUGAUCAUGGUAUCCUUGACCAAGAAACCAUAACGACAAGAAAGAAGGCCAAGAUAAAUAGUUUUUCCAGCUAAAUUUUGUAGAAGUAAUGGUUGGAGUAACAGAUAGAGGUGUUCCAAGACCAGAAGCUAUUCUAAGGCCAAAUAGAAGAGGGAAAAUCUGAUUUUGAGAGUAGAAACCCUAGAUCUGAGCUACUAUCAAUGAAACAACAAAACAGGGAACGCACUCAGGACAUUGAGGCGAAACGACCGACAAUAACGCAAUGAUGUUCCGGCAUGGGGAAGGUGACACAUGAAGCCCACACGCCGAGGUUGGCUGGAAAGAAGCGGCAUGUGAUGACACAUUGGGAGGAGAAUGAAGCGGCGACCACCAAUGAUGGGUCAUGCUCCUUGAGGUGCACUUAAUCCUUGACUUUGCCAAAGAAAAAGCUGCGGUGGUGACGGACAGCAAUGAUAAUGACGGUUAGCAAUGACUGACAACAACAGUGACGACACAAACUGAAAGCCCAGGCGGCUGGCUCUGGAUACCAACUUAGAGAGUUGUGAGAGAAACUGAAAUUUAACUAUCAUUUUAUUAGGGAAAAGUUUUUGUCGGUGGAAAUCUGUAUUGAGUUUGUUGGAUUUAAUGAACUUGUAGAUGUGUUAACAAAAUCCUCGAGAAGACCAUGGAUUGAAUUGAUUUGUACGAAACUUGGUACAUACAAUUUGUCUACCUUCAACUUGAGUGUGUGUUAUAAUAGGUCUUAAAUUGGCUUUAUUGAAAAGUUGAUGUGUGCUGUACCUAGGACUAUAGAUUUCACCUUUCUUAUUCUUUUGUAUUCCCUCUCACUUAUUGUAUCUGAACUACCAUUGCCAGUAUAAAUAUGAGAACUUCAGAGAGGGGAAUUAAGCUCUGUGAUAAAUUUUCUUUUCCUUAUUUUUAUCUAAAGUGGCUACUAUUCUUAUGCUGAAGUUAUUUGCUUAUUUGGGACAAAAUAAUUUAUUUGGCUUUCAUGGUAUUUAUUUAGUGAACAGUUAUUUUUAAGGGUUUCUUAGAUUGAUAUGCUGCAGGAUUGGAUUUAUGUUUUGCAUAUAUGUUUUUUUCUUCUUUCUGACUUUGGAUGUGUACAUGUUCUCCUUUGUUAACAAUGAUAUAUGAUAUAUUUUCUCCUUGCAUGUAAUAAAAACUUGGUGGCAGGAUGAAUGGCCAACUUCUUUGAAGGAGUUCAUCCUAAAAUUAAGGUCUAUGGUAUUUUGUCAAGAUCAAGCAGAUAUGAACAUGGUAUGUAAUCUUUUCCUUGUUACUCACCUUUACCAUGGUAAAAUCUGGGCUAGAUCUUGUUGAUUGAAAUUUAAAUAUUUAAUGAAAGGGCUUACACAUUCUAUUUGGUUGUUUUGUAUCUUACUAAUAUAUUAUCACAGAAACAGAAUCCAUUGGUUACAGAUUGGGGCUCUCUAUGUGGCAAUGCAUAUUAUUCAUUUAUCUUGUGCUGCUUGUAUUAUGAGAGUGUCAAUUGGACUUUUUUACACUGAAUUUUCUCAUGCCCUUUCCAUUUGAGCUAAUGAAAACUUGGUGACUAGUUGUUGGAAAAUGAAAUGGAUCAACAUGCCUAGAUAGAAAAGAAACUAAGAACUAAACAAAAAUAAUUAAGAAAUGGAAUUAAAAGACUAAAAAUGAAAGAGAGAAAGGAAAGGAAACUUAGGGAAAUGAAGAAUAAUUAAGAAAUGGAAUUAAUAUACUAAACAUGAAAGAUUGAAAGGAAAGGAAACUUAGGAAAAUGAAGCCACACCAUCAUACUAAGAGACAAAGUUCUAUCUCAAAGAAGUAAUGCAAUUGAAUGCAAAACAUUCUUUAUACUCAAAUCUUAAGGUGUAUGUUACAAAGGAGGUCNNNNNNNNNNNNNNNNNNNNNNNNNNNNNNNNNNNNNNNNNNNNNNNNNNNNNNNNNNNNNNNNNNNNNNNNNNNNNNNNNNNNNNNNNNNNNNNNNNNNNNNNNNNNNNNNNNNNNNNNNNNNNNNNNNNNNNNNNNNNNNNNNNNNNNNNNNNNNNNNNNNNNNNNNNNNNNNNNNNNNNNNNNNNNNNNNNNNNNNNNNNNNNNNNNNNNNNUAUCUCAAAGAAGUAAUGCAAUUGAAUGCAAAACAUUCUUUAUACUCAAAUCUUAAGGUGUAUGUUACAAAGGAGGUCUUAGGUUGCUUAUAUAGUUGUAAGACAGGAAGUAGUGUUAGAAGUGAACUUUAAGCCUAACUCAACCCCACAAAACCGGCUUGUAAGGUGAGGUUUGCACCCACUUAUAUACUAUGAAUUGGCCUUAUCUCUAGUCGAUAUGAGAUUUCCAACACACCCCCCUCACGCCGAGGUAUAUACAUCUCUAGUGUGGGAUUAGACAUUAAUGGGUGGUCCGAUAGCUGAUGGAACAAUAUGCCUAACAAACAACCAAUAUCACUAGGUUAGGCUUUAACGAUGUCUCUGAUACCAUGUUAGAAGUGGACUUUAAACCUAACUCAACCCCACAAAACUGGCUUGUAAGGUGAGGUUUGCACCCACUUAUAUACUAUGAAUUGGUUUUAUCUAUAGUCGAUGUGAGACUUCCAACAAGUAAGUUGAGUAAACUAAGGGAUGUGGGACUUAAAGACCUUAAAUCUGAAAUGUAUCAUCAAAAACAGGUUUUAGGUCCCACAUCUCUUAAUUCUACAUCACCUGAAAGGUAUAUAAGCUACCUAAGUAGCCUAAAGUCCAUAACUAAAACUAUACAAGAGGUAACUUGCAUUACAAGCAAACUAAAGGAGGAAAACUUAUUUAUUCUUCUUUUUUUAAGUCCAAGAUAUGUGAAGUUCCACAUUGCUUGUACUUUAAAGAAAAGAAGAAUAUAUAAGCUUCUCUACAACCAAACUAAAAAAGAAACUAGAAAGGCAAUAAAUACAAGCCUAUGAACAACCUAUGCUACUAAAGGCCAAAAUACAAGCCAUAAAAUCUAUGCUAUGUCUUUUUAUGCUUCUUGUCACUCUUUUAAUCUCUUCAUCCUUGCCCUAUCUAUAUUCACAUCAGAAAACCAUCUUAGUUUUAAUAACCCUAUCCCUCCUUAGUUCCAGUCUCUUUGGGGUUCCCUUAAUUGCAACCUCAAGGGUGGUGAUUUAGUCCUACAUUAAUUAAGGAUAGUUAUUAAGUUGAACUUAUAAAGCUUAGAAAACCCUCAUCUUAUAAGUUAGUUUUGUGGAGAUUGAGUCAGAUCCAAACCUAAAUUCUAAGACUAAGUAUUAUUGAACCUUCAAUUUAUUGGUUAUUUCGAUCCUUGAAGUGCAAUCCUUCAUGUUAUUUAUAUUAUGAUGCCUUUGCACAAUUUAUUUUAUAUGACCAACUUUUGGCCUUUAUUUUUGCUCUAUGUCAAUCUAUGCGGGUUUGAAAUAAUCAAGUAGGAAAAUCAUUUUAAAGAUCUUAUAUACUUUUUGAACAUAAGCUAUAUUUGUUUCAGAUUUCUGCUCGAGAAGGUUUUGUAUGUCAUAAUCUUGAUUCAUAUCAAUUUUGUUCUAUAUUUGCAGGCAAUACCUGGCUUGCAGAUGACUUCACUUAAUAGUGUUCUUGCCCAGGGCAUGAAUGUAAAGAAAAAACAUGAAGUGAGUCCUCGACUAUCAAAUUUUUACAAUUGUCUUCCCAAAGAAUUUACAAGGUCAAGGUUCUCUUUGGGAUGAGAUUUUUGGCAAACGAAUUUUUAGUUGUGGAUGCCAUUUUCAUUUUGAUCAAUAAAUUGGUUGCAUUUCAAUAUAUCAUUUAAGAAGAUUUUCAUGUGUGCAGGUAGAAAUUCUUUCUGCAGUUAUAAGUACAGUUGCAAACAGUGUGAAAGCUGAUGCCAUUGCUGAUGUUGGUGCUGGUCAGGUGUAGAUUCAUUUUCUUUUGCUUACAAUUAUGUUAAAGUAGAUACAAAUCCUAUGUAUGUGUUAGAAGUGGAUUUUAAGCCUAACUCAAUUCUACAAAACCGGCUUGUAAGGUGAGGUUUGAACCCACUUAUAUACUAUAAAUUGACCUUAUCUCUAGUCGAUGUGGGACUUCCAACACACCUCCCUCACGCUGAGGUAUAUAUAUCUCGAGCGUGGGACUAGACAUUAAUGGGUGGUCCAAUAGCGGCCCGAUAGCGGGUGAAACAAUAUGCCCAACAAACAACAAAUAUUGUUAGGAUAGACUUUAACGAUGACUCUGAUACCAUGUUAGAAGUGAACUUUAAGCCUAACUCAACCCUACAAAACCGGCUUGUAAAGUGAGGUUUGCACCCACUUAUAUACUAUGAAUUGGCCUUAUCUCUAGUCGAUGUGGGACUUCUAAUAGUAUGUUUGACAAAUCAAGGGAUAUGGCAUGGUUAAAAGUAAUUCUCUUUUAAAAUCAACAGAUGCAGUGAUAGUUGCCUCAAUUCCUCAUAAUUAAUCUCGAUACCUAAAAAAUAAUCAAGUCUGCCAAGAUUUUUGAGGGAGAAAUUGCUCUACAAAUGGUGAGUGAGCUGCUGAAUAAGCGGAGUGGAAGUGCCUGUGAUAAUAAUGUCGUCAACAUACACCAAGAUGUAAGUUUGACCAUGUUGAGUGCAGUAAAAUAAAGAGGGAUCAAAUUUGGUGGAGUAGAAACCAAGAGAAAUAAGGGUGGAUUGGAGCUUGUCAAACCACUGCUGAGGCACCUGUUUCAGGCCAUAAAUUGCUUUGUUUAGGCAACAAACCAAAGUCUUAUCAGAAGCCUGAAAACCAGGGGGUUGGCUCAUAAAAACAAUUCAGGAACCCAUUGAAUAAGGCAAGGUUAUCAAAUUUGAGAGUUUACGUAAACUCGUGAAAGUCGAGUAAACUCGACUCGUCAACUCGACUUGUAAACUCGACUCGUAAGAGUUUACUUCAGAUGAAAAAAAUUAUAUAAAUAAUAUCUUAAUUCAAAUAAGUCUACAAAAUUAUAUAACUUUAAAUAAAUAAAAUUUAUAGAUAUAUUGUUCAUAAAAGUAAAUAUUGUAAAAUAUAAAUACUUAGAUUAUUGUCAUUAAUUUUGAUGCAUUUCAUCAAAUAUAUAGUAAAAAGAGAAUUGUAGCAGUGGCAAGGACUUAGGUUUUAUUGUUUAGAAAAACAAUUUCUUUUACCUAUUAUAAACCAAACAGUGCUCAGCUCAUGACUUUGUUAAAAAAAAUAAAAUUCACUCAACAGUGAGUGACGCAGUUGGGAAGGAAGGAGGCGAGACUAGUAUGCGCAGCGGCAAGCGUGACGGUAGACGCGGCGGCGAGUGUGACAAUAGGCGCGACGGCGAGUGCAAAACAAACAUGACGACAGCCACGAACGAAGCGUAGAUGGAGUGUGAACGAAAUGCGAUCGAGCGCACACGACGGCGACCUGAAGGAGGCAAGGCGAUGGCGAUGGCCAUGGAGAGAGACAGAGGGGCGCGAGAGAUAGUGACAAUCAGAUCAUGAAACCCUAAACCCCAAACGACCUCGUUUUUCUUAAUUGUUCCCCUUUCAAGCUUGCAGAAUCGCUCCAAACUUGCGAUUCUGCACAAUCCUACCAAUUUCACAGUUGAUUCUACCGAGUUUAUACAGAAAACGAGUUUACUUCCGAGUUAAUUCGGAAGCCAUGUCUGGAAACAUAAACUUGUACGAGUUUAAGAGUUAACUUUAUAGUUUGAUAACCAUGGAAGAAGACAUUGUUGACAUCCAAAUGAAAGAGAUCCCAACCAUAUGUUAAAGCCUGAGUGAGAAUAAGUCUAAUGGUUAGAGGUUUGAUAACUGGAGAAAUGGUUUCUUUAUAAUAAAAAACUAGGAACUUGAGUAAAGCCUUUGGCAACCGGAUGAGCUUUGUACUUGUUUAUACUACUACUAGGGCUUUGUUUGAUGCAAAAUCCCAUUUACAACAACCUGAUGACCAUGAAGUAGUAGCACCAAAUCCCAGGUGUGUUGAUGGAUAAGAGCCUCAUAUUCUGACUUCAUAGCAGCAGCCUAGUGAGGAAUUUUAAUGGCCUGAGAAAACUUGGAAGGUACAACAACUGUGAGUAACAAUAAUGAAGGAUGGAUGUGAGAAUCAGUGUUAUCGAUAUAUGAUAACGUAAAAUAUCGGUGACCCAAAAAUCCUUUAUAGUUAUAAAGGAAACCCUAACGGGUUAUGGCGGAAAUGUUGCGGUCAAAAGAAAUAUAAUACCACCACAUAUAAUUCUAAUGCAAAGUAAUGAUAUUAUGUCUAAAAGUUCAAAUAAUAAUAUCAUAUCAAAACACCACAAAUUUAAAGUUCAAAACAUAAUAUAACAACAAAUCAUAAAAUGAAUGUAUUAAGUUUCUAAUCAUCAGAUUCAUCUUCAAUCCCGACAUAAUUUUCUUCAAUAUUAUCAUCCAAUGGGGCAUAUCCCUCCUCCUCUUCCCCUUUUGAGAGACUCUUGUCAAAGUUAAGUAAUCUUUCAAACUUGGAAUCAGAAUUAUCAUGCAAUUCAUUUUGAAUCCCAACUUGAGCCUUCUAUUUACACUUCCCUGUUGGUGUUGGGGUUGGAGGUGCACUUGAACCUUUCUUAGAAGCAUGGGAAAAUCCAAUAACUAUACCACCAAUUUAUGGUUGCUUUCUUUUAUUGGUUGCUUGUCUCCUUGUAUAAACUCUUGGUUCUCCAAUACCUGAAGCUUCAUAAAUAGUGGCACAAUUAAGAGUGGGAUCAUCAUAAAAUACCAAUUCAUUUCCCCCCUCUCCAUUAUCGUUGUCAUCAACUUCUCCCACUUAACACUCAUUGCAUUCAUCAAUGUCGUUCAAUACAUAAGGGUCUAUUUCAUCCCUAAUAUUGUAUCUUUGAACAAGUUGUAGAUUAUAAUUUAUGCAAACCAAAUCAUGCAACCUUUUGUGGUCCAGCAGCCUAUUCCUUUUCUUUGAAUGAAUUUGCAUUAUGAAUAAGUACUAUGUGAAUUAAUUUCUUUCUACACUCUACAAAUAAGAUAAUAACGAAAUUAGUCAUGUCUUAUUAUCUUCUCAAAAACACCCCAAUUCCGGUAACAUCCUGAUGAACUACAUGUCAAACUUAAAAUCUUGAUUGCUAGCUUUUGUAAGUUGGGAGCUGCAUGCUCAUAAUUCUUCCGCCAUUGAGUUACAAAAGCAAUGAAAGUAACUUAGAAUGUAACCAUUAUAUCUUAGCACAAUUUAGAAAGCGUUACGUGUCUCACCUAGGGCUGUGGUCUUCCUUGAUUCUUUUGCAAAAUCAUCACCAAAGAGUCCACUUACACUAUUCUAAAGAGACAAUUCAGGUAAAAUAUUUUGCUGCACAUCUUUACUUGGCACCAACCUCCUGAUGCAAGCAUAUAAUCCAUUUGUAACUUUGAAAUCAUUUUCCAUGUCUGGGUUGGAAUGAAAUAACUCUGGGUUCAAAAAGUGACUAGCUGCAUGUAAGGGGUGAUGUAGUGGACAUGUCCAUCUAUUAUCAAUGAUUGGAAAUACAUCAUUGUAUUUACUUUCAUUGUUGUUGAGCGACUUCAUUAUUGUUUCCUUGGCUUUUUCCAUUGCUUCAUAUAUAUAGCCCAUAGUUGCUUUUCUUUCCCAUCCACUAGACGAACCACAUGAACAAGAAGAGCCAUGACUUGGAGAGUAAAUACGACAUAAUUCCAAAAUGAAGGCCUAAGAACAAUUUUCGAAGCCUCCCUCCCCUUAGCUUCCUUAGAUAGCUUGUUAUUGCUCCAUUCAUCAUAAGUGAACAUCUUUCUCAAAUUUCCCUUCUCUUGGUGCAAUCUUUGUAAUGAUAAAUAAGAAGUAGCAAACCUUGUAACAACAUGUCUUAUUAAUUCCUCUUUAUUUGUAAAUUGUUUCAACAAACUCAAGGUACUAGAAUGGCUAUAGAUAAAGCCAACAAGACUAACUCCUCUUUGAAUUGUCUUCUUUAUCAAAGGAAGCUUUCCAAUGUCUUCAAAUAGAAAACCUAUACAAUGGUAGCACAAGGAUUCCAAUAGAGAGGGGGUCUUUUCUCUUCCAACAACUUACCAGCCAACACAUUUUCUCCCAUUAUCUGUUAUAACUUGAACGACAUUUUCUUCUUCAAUUUCCUGCUCAAGGGAAUCAAGCAUCUCAAAUAGUUUUUCUCCUGUCUUCACAAAGUUUAAACCAUCAAUGGACUUGACAAAUAUUAUCUUGCAGGGGAGCUGACCAAAAAGUUAAUCAAGCAAGCAUCGUUGCUUUCGGUCAGUCCAUGCAUCUGACAUAAUAGAAUAGCCAUGUCUGCUCCACUGCAAUUUAUGAUCCUGCAACAACUUCUCAGUGUGCUUAACUUCCUUGUUGAGAAGUGGAACUCUGAUUUCAUGAUAAGAAGGAGCAGGUAAAUUAGGUCCAUAAGCACCUAUGGCAUAAUCAUAUCUUGAAAACUUUUCAACCUCACAAGGUUGAAUGACAAGCCUGCUUGGUACCAAAAUCGAGCAAUAUAUUGAUAAAGUGAGGCCUUUAAAUUUUUGUCACAUGCCUCUUUGAUGUUAGCUUGCCUGAGUUUUUCCUUUUUUCUCUUCUCUAUUGCAGAAGCUGGAUUUCUACAGAACAUAUCCAUUGGUCCUUUUCUUCCACUACUAUUUCUCCCUUUAUCAUUACUAGUAGUGGAAAUUUCAACUUCAUCUUCACUCAUGAUUAUCAUUGACUGCACUAUAUCUAGGAUUGACGGAAGAACUGUCUGUUUUUCUUUAUAUAAUUUCCAAAGUUAUUCUCUCACAUUUUUCGGAGUCUUGGUGCAAGCAACAACACUGCCCUUCUUUCCCGUUAGAUGUUCUUUUGCUCUAGUAACUCCUCCUUUCAUAACUUUCCCACAAUAGUUAAAAAUAUUUAAAUUUGAUUCAUCCAUCGGGUGACAUUGUUACCAACCUGGGUCACUUCUGAGAUGUUCUUGAAGUGUCCUGACUAUUUGGCCAUUACUGUUGCUGGAAAAUAGGUAUACUUUUUGAAAAAAUAAUUAUAGUGAAAGUGGAGAAGUAGAAAAAAAAAA
rnacentral:lncRNA from 1 species